AUGUUAGUGAAAAUCUCGUACCUCUCUUGUCUCGCGUUUUGGUGGUACCUCUCCAAUAAGUCUUGGUGCAUCUCGUACGGGUACAUGUCCUCGUAGGACUUUUGGAAUUCGGAGUUCAUGGUGGCGAUCAUGAUGCAAUGUACCUUCGUUGCAUCUCGCUCAUGAGUUUCAAAGGCGGUGAUUUCGGCGGGAGUAGCAAUUUCGGGGUUGAUUUUCUCGAGCUUCUCAUCGAGGACAUACUCCUUAUCCUCAUAGCGAGCAAUGGUGCGAAUGUAUCUUAUCCAUUCGCUAAAGUUCGUUCCAUCGAAGGUGACCUUUUGGCAAAGGCUCAUCAACGUGAAAGAACUAGCAGCAGCGUUGUUUGCGUUUGACAUCUAUAAUUAGAAAAGGACAAAGAUAGAUUAGAAUAAGAAUCCCUAAUUAUCACCCAAUAAGAAAAUUAGGGCUAGGAUCCAACAAUAACAUUUACAUACUAGAAAAGGGAUGCCGUAAUCUAACAUGCAAAUAAAUUGAAGGUAAGUGAAUGACGAUUCACUAAUUCUCCAUCACAAAACUUAAACUAUUAGUCCUAAGUGUUUUUGAGAAUUCCUAGGUUCGGAUGAGAUUCAUUGAAACUAUUCAAUGGCAUGUUUAAAUCUCGAUAUGCCCCUCUCGUUUGUGACUGGGAUGCCGAGGAUCACAAAGUGGGUGUGAAUAACCAUGCAAAUCUAGAUGGUGCCCUAAUUGUUACAAUCACCUAUUCGAUGUGCCGGUAAACCACACACGCUUCAUCGAACUAUGUAAAACAAUGAAUCACCCUUUUCCACAUUCGCUUAGAACCAAUUAGUGUGCCGGUAAACCACACACGCUCCACUAACUUCUUAGCAAGGUGCAAAGUGUAAUUUCAUGGGAUUGCAUCAAUUCACUUUUCCUAAAGUAACUAGGAUUGGGAAAUUUUAUUGAAAACCUGUAGUUACUUUAUAUUUCUUAUUAUACUUUUAAUGAGAGGAUGAGGUUGCCCUAUCCUACCCGUUCGGCUAACGACCCUCCACCGAUCAAGCAAGCGGUGGGUGUGAGUGUACACCCACUAAGCGCCAUUUUAUAGGCUUCAACCUUAUACCCACCUUAUAGAUCGGCUUCGUGAAUGAGGCCUACUAACGGUAAGACUAGCAUUUAGUUAUACAUAUAUAUAUUAUUCUAGUAAUAUCAUAUUAGUAUAGGGUUGUAUUUUAAAACUUUUAAAAUCUAGGGUUUGAAAUUUAAGUUGUCUAAAUUAAAACUUUUAAUCACAAAAGUAAAUUUCAAAACAUGAGGGUAGGUUUUAAACAUUUAAAACAUGGAGGAUCAAAUAACAAAUAAUUCCAAUUAACAAUUAAUAUCCUAAUUAUCUAUAUUUGAUUUNNNNNNNNNNNNNNNNNNNNNNNNNNNNNNNNNNNNNNNNNNNNNNNNNNNNNNNNNNNNNNNNNNNNNNNNNNNNNNNNNNNNNNNNNNNNNNNNNNNNNNNNNNNNNNNNNNNNNNNNNNNNNNNNNNNNNNNNNNNNNNNNNNNNNNNNNNNNNNNNNNNNNNNNNNNNNNNNNNNNNNNNNNNNNNNNNNNNNNNNNNNNNNNNNNNNNNNNNNNNNNNNNNNNNNNNNNNNNNNNNNNNNNNNNNNNNNNNNNNNNNNNNNNNNNNNNNNNNNNNNNNNNNNNNNNNNNNNNNNNNNNNNNNNNNNNNNNNNNNAUAGUCAUAUAUAUCAUAAAAUCGGAUUUGGGUUGAUCUAAUAUGAUAAAGGUAAGUUUCCAUAAGAUAAAUAUGAAAAAAUUCCGAUUUUGGCUCUUCCUGACGCUCGAACUCGCCGAGUACCCACUCUGGACUCGCUGAGUCAGGCCAACUCGCCGAGUCCACUAUGGGACCCGCCGAGUCCAUGACUCAGAAACACAAAAUUCAAAUUUUGCAAUUAAGAUACAAAGAAUCAAGCAACAAUUUAAUAGAAACCAAUCUAGGCUCUGAUACCACUGAUGGGUUUUGGCCAUAUGAACAUUCCUAUGUGCACAUGCAAACCCUAAUGCUUGGAUCUAGGUUUCUCUAAUUAAACAUGCAUUGGAUCCAAGACUUCUAAUGACUAAUUAGGUAUAAGAACAAUACAAAAUCAGAGUUAGAAGCUUACCUUGAAACACUUGUUUGAUCUUCUUGUUCUUGGAGCUCUAGAGUCACAAUUGUCACUCCUCUAAUGGAUUACAAACACCAACUAGCAAGGAGGAUGAUUUGAGAGAGGGAAUGGAAGAGAAAAUCGGCCAGGGCUUCUUCUCAANAGCAGAGGUGCCGAUUUCCCUUGCCCCAGGGGUCUAUUUAUACUUGUAAGGCUCCUAGGGUUUCACCCUUAAACCCUAAUUGGAUAACUUAAGCCCUAAGAAAUCCUAAUCCUUACCAAAGAUAAGCCUUGGAUGAAUUUGAGGCUAUCCCAAGCCCUAGAAUUCGUCCACCCCUUAUCGUUAAAGGAUAUAUAGCCCAAAGUGUAACUAUCAAACAAUUGACAGUUUAUACCCUCUAAUUUCAUUAAUCUCUUUAAGUCACCAAAUUAAUACUAAUUAAUCCAUGACUUAUAUUAAUCAAAUAAAAAUAUUAUUAUUCCUUAUAUUAUUCUCAUAAUAUAUUAAUAAUAUCUAUUCUCUUAUAAUAAAUCAUCCUGUCAAGUUGCUAUGGUGAAGGCAACCCAAAAGGACCAUGCACAAUCGGGUCAAAUACUUGCCUAAUAUAGUUGCAGCCUUAGACACUAUUCCAACAAGUAGCACACACAGAAGUAGGUGUAGAUCCCUGGGUUGAUCUAUGCACGAGCUGAGGGCACUCGGCCUUCUUGUGGCCAGUCUGGUUGCAAUAGAAGCAAACUGAGAACCCCUUGGAGCAAUCCUUCACCAGGUGCCCCUCUUUGCUACAUUUGUAGCAAAUCCCCAAACGGUAUGAGCCCUCGUGACUCUUGCCGCACUUGCCACAAGUGCGACCCUUCUGUCCCCCAGAUCUGGUAUCAGUGGGCUUAGCCCGCUUUGUCGCCGGCUACGACUGUACUAGUCUCCGGUCCCUACCCCGGGACUCCUCCUCCUCCGUGGUCUGCAGCUCAAGCUCAAUCUCCCUCCUCCUGGCAUUGGCCUGAAGCUUAGGCAAUGUCCUGUACGACGAGUUCGCCACGAACUCUCGUAUAUCCCUCCUCAGUAUGCUCAUAUAUCGGCUCACACAUGCCUGCCCAGUGGACACGUGCUCAGGGAAAAACAUUGCCCUCAAAUGGAACAUCCUCGAAAUCUCAGCCACUGACUCUUUCUUCUGCUUGAGAGAUAGAAAAUCCUGUUCCAAACGUUCCCUCUCUACCGGGGGAACAUACUCGUCUCUAAACAUCUGAACAAACCUCUCCCGCGUCACCGCAACAUGAUCUGUAGAGGUGAAACCGAUUGUCAUAAACUUCCACCAGUCCUUUGCUCCCAAGCGAAGCUGGUUCAGCGCAAACCGAACUCUCAGGUGAUUUGGGCAUGAACAUGUGUAAAAACACCCCUCCAUAUCAUAGAUCCAUCUCAUCGCAAUAACUAGAUCUUGUGUCCCAUCAAACUCUGGUGGCUUCGUGUUGCUAAACUCCCGGAACAACAACGAGUCACCUCCCUGAGGCCUAGCAGCGGCGACGACUGCAGUGGCUGCAACAGCAGCAGCCUCAGUGACAACAGUGUAUCGCUCAUCAAAAGUCUCAAUCAGGGUGGUCUUAAUAGACUCAAACAUCUCUGGAAUCUCCGCUCGGAUAGUUGCGGCCAACUCCUCGUGAAUCAUCCUCCGUAUCUGUAACGCCCGCAGAUCCGGGCUAGUCAAUUUAGAGGCAAUAGGGGUCAAAAAUGACUUUUCGACAAAAGAUUAUUUAGAAUAAAUAGUCUUAACCAAGUUGUAUAAUAUGUCUCAAGCUUUCCGUACAUAUAAAGAACGCCAAAAUCCGAGUUAUAACGAAGAAGUUAUGGCCCGCCGAAGUUUUACGGCAAAACCGGCACGACACCGGGAGACGUAAAUAGUGAAUUUACGAUAGAAGACUUUUUAGCCUUAUCAAUCUAAACAAAAGUCGUAGAAUAUGUUAAACUAAGAACAUCGAUAAAAAGAACGCCCAAAUCUGACUUCGUAUGAAGAAGUUAUGAUUUUUCUAAGAUUCGGCUUAGCAGUGCACGGCCUGAAACUCAAAUUUAGUUCGAGCGGUUUUUCGCUUACGCAACGUAAAUGAGAGUUGAAGAUAUCAUUAAUAGGAAAUCAACGGUAAAAAGACAGACAAAAACAGAGUCCGUAUGUAGAAGUUAUUNAAGAGCAUUCCAUAUGAUCCUAGACGAAGCAGAUGACAAUGCGAGGAUUCAGGAAUGACGGCUUGACAUCCAAGGAUCGAGUUAUAAUGUAGCCAUAGAAUCAUAUGAUGUAGCCUGUUAGAGGCAUAGUCUAGGGUGAACUUGAACACCUAUGUAAUCGUUUCAAGAAAUAAUAUGAAACCUUUGUUUUGUUAUUUGAUGUGUUAAGUUGUUUUUUUUUCUUGUAUGGUAACUUGGAGAGACUGCGGGACAAUACUUGGGACAAGUAUGAGUAGGUGUGAAUGGUAGUAGAGGCCUAUACUACCGGAAGCACAGGACUCACGCUUGGAUCAGGGAAAGUCACAAGGUUGCCAAGAAACUAGUAAUUGAUCUCGAUUUAUUCAAGUGUGUUGCUACCAUUGUUUUGGUAAAUGACUAAGACGAUUGUUGAUAUUCCGACCCUAGUGGUCAUAUCGAAUUGAGUCCGACUACGAUGAGUAUGUUACGUGGUUCAGAGAACCAAAUUUGAUGUAGCGUCCGACUUAAACCAAACGAUUGAAAUCAAAGCGAUCAAUCGAAGUAUCGCGCUCGUUGUUAAAAGAAGAUGGUUGCUAGAGAUGCUACCUUUUUAGAUGUGACUAGAACAUGAAGGAAGAUAUAAACUGUUCUGGAAUUUGACUCUAAGAGACCUGAGUCUGAGCAUUGCAGCAUACGAUGAGAGGUCAUUAGAAUAUGACACAUCGGUCCAUUGUAUUAAUAAAAGAACUUAUCUUAAGUUCGUAUCCAGUGAGGAUCGAGAUUGUGACUUGAAGGUCAUAAUUUGCAGUCUAACGUAAGAUAGAGAGCGUAUGCAAGAUCGAGCACCGCCUGUAGUCAAGGAGUCUAAGAAUUAGAUACACGUUCGAAGAAACCUCGAAGUUAUGACCUAGGAUGAAUAGAUAACAAAUGGAGUCAUCAUGUGAGCCCUGUUUCGUUGAUGAUUCCGGGACGUAAUCAUCCUAAGGGGGAGAUAAUUGUAACGCCCGCAGAUCCGGGCUAGUCAAUUUAGAGGCAAUAGGGGUCAAAAAUGACUUUUCGACAAAAGAUUAUUUAGAAUAAAUAGUCUUAACCAAGUUGUAUAAUAUGUCUCAAGCUUUCCGUACAUAUAAAGAACGCCAAAAUCCGAGUUAUAACGAAGAAGUUAUGGCCCGCCGAAGUUUUACGGCAAAACCGGCACGACACCGGGAGACGUAAAUAGUGAAUUUACGAUAGAAGACUUUUUAGCCUUAUCAAUCUAAACAAAAGUCGUAGAAUAUGUUAAACUAAGAACAUCGAUAAAAAGAACGCCCAAAUCUGACUUCGUAUGAAGAAGUUAUGAUUUUUCUAAGAUUCGGCUUAGCAGUGCACGGCCUGAAACUCGAAUUUUAGUUCGAGCGGUUUUUGGCUUACGCAACGUAAAUGAGAGUUGAAGAUAUCAUUAAUAGGAAAUCAACGGUAAAAAGACAGACAAAAACAGAGUCCGUAUGUAGAAGUUAUUAAUUUUACGCAGACGUUUAACAGUAUAAUCUCCUUGUACUGUUAAAUUUAAGAUCGGUCGAGAAUUAGCUGACGGUGUCAAAAUGAAAGUUGUAGAUCUUAUUAUUACCUACACGUGGAUAUAAAGAACGUCAAAAACGGAGGUCGUAUGUGAAAGUUACGGAUUUUAGAAGUCGGAAGUGUGCUGUGCGAAAAUGGGUGAUGUGGCACAAUCUUGGCCAUUGCUUUCUCCCCAAGGCUUGCCACCAGAUGGUGACAUGUGGCACCAAGUUCAGCCACAUUUCACCCUAUAAAUACCACCUCUCCCACCCUCAUUUUCUUCACACCUUUCCCAUUCUUUCUUCUCUUUACUCUCUCUCUCUCUCUNNNNNNNNNNNNNNNNNNNNNNNNNNNNNNNNNNNNNNNNNNNNNNNNNNNNNNNNNNNNNNNNNNNNNNNNNNNNNNNNNNNNNNNNNAAUAAUAAUAAUAAUAAUAAUAAUAAUAAUAAUAAUAAUAAUAAUAAUAAUAAUAAUAAGACUAAUAAUUAGUCACGGUAAUAUUAGACUAAAAUCUAGUGGUGAUAAUACUAGGUUUCGUCAAAGGAAAUUAUUUUAAAGUAAACGAAGCGCUGUCCGAGUACCGAGUCACCACCUUCUCAGGUGAGUGCAUAGUUACUUUCAGCUUACACAUAGAUAUGAAGUAUUUUAUAUAAAUUACGUGCUGUGUGUGUAUAUUAUCUGUAUACUUGCUAUCUAUGCUGGAUGAACGUUUUAUACAUGUUUUCAAUGAUUUAAACUGUAUAUGUAUUUUAUAUCUACAAAAUGUGUUGGGUAAAACAUGGGUAGAUGUAUUAGUUGCUGUGUGAUAAAAUGAAAUAAUGAGAUGCCUCGUUAUAGAUGUUAUUGAUGAUCCAGUCAUCUAGCGGAGUAUAGAUGACGACCACGGACUAUUCUAGACAGUCCAGUGGAACACUAGCAGGCUCGCAACCUGUAGGUGUUUAUUCGAACUGUGUGUUUAACCGAACUGUGUGUUUAUUCGAACUGUGUGUUUAUUCGAACUGUGUGAACUGUGUGCUCACCAGAUAUACUCCAUCCCAGUGAUAGUCCUUUGACUAGGUCCCUUGUGUUAGAUGUUUUAGGGACGUAAUGUGAGGAUAACGGGAAUGGGUAAUUGGGUUGAUUGUUUGAUGUUUGAAAAUAAUAAUUAUAUUAUUGUGGGUUGAAAACCCUAUGUACUCACCAGGUUUCCAAACCUGACCCACUCAGUUUAUUUAUAUCACAGGUGUUGAUACGAAGUCACUUUACACUGAGAGAUUUAAAGAGAUGUAGAUCACUAGUGUAAAUAAAUGUAAGUUCUGUUUAUGCUUAUGUUUCUGUAUGAACGAUGACAUCCCAAACAUUUUGAAAUGAAUAAAAUACGUUCCUUCGAAAAUGUUUUAAUAACGUAUUUAUCAUGUAUUUCUGGGAACAAAUUCCGCAACCUUUUUAUAAAAUGAAGUACUCUGAUUUUUACAAAGCAUAAACAAAAUCGGUCUUUUCUGGUCGUGAUUUUGGGGAUGUCACAGUAUCUCCUCAUCACUAGUCCCACUGCCUCCAUGGUUGUGGCGUGUACUAACCAUGAUGUCUCUGAAACACAACACAAAAUAAUCAGAGACUCGCUCGAGUAUACUAACACUCAAUCACUCACCCCUACUUGUUCCUUAGUAUCCUAAGGAUUCUUACUUGGAUUUCUCACCUAUCCGGUGCUUCCAGUAGUACGUGCCCAAUACUACCUUCCACACCGCAUCUGUAUUCACCCUAAGUCCUCCUCCUCGGACCCCGGUUUCAAGUACUCUAUACCUCACUAAACACAAGCUACUCUAACCAUAGAUCUCUCAUAAGGUCGUUCCUGCUAAAUACUCAUUCUCAGCUCAUACUCAAGGCAAAUUACCGAUAGCAGAAAUCCCUAGGCUAAGGCAUAACAAAUCAGGCCACCCUAGUCCUUAUAUAUGAAAUACGUAGCCUACUCUCUAGCAUGCAUAAUAUAUCAUAAUAUAUCAUAAAUAUCUUAUAACACAAAAGUUAGGGUGUUUUGGGAAAUCACUGCUCGGGCUCUGGCUGGUUGUACACACUGCUCCAACUCAUUUGCUCUCAAACUCUUUCUCAUUUUUAGAAAAUUUUAUCUCUUUUGAAAAUCUUUCUCAAAUCCUCAGUUUAAGUCCAAACACACCUAGAGGUACAUCCAAAUCCCUUAAACCAAGGCUCUGAUACCAACUUGUAACGACGUAAUUUUUCAAACAAAAUUUUCAUUUUCAAAACAUAACAAAACUCACUUUUCAAUCUCAAAAUCACAAGUGUCUAAAAUGUCAACAAUCCACAAUGUAAAUCACAAUCCCACAAUCAUAAAAUUGUCUCUCGCCAGUGUGUACUAUCAUGUCGGUGCCUUCCCACGAUCCUCAGAACUACCUGAAACACAUAACACGAUAAGAACAAAGCUUACUGAGUUCCCUAAAAUACCACACACAACUUGUUAGCCACUCGAGGCUCAAACUCAAUAAGGCCCUCCGGUCAAUGUGUCUCAAUGGGGCCCUCCGGUCCCACAACUCAGUUGGACCCACUGGUCCCUCAACUCAGCAACUCAAUACAGUACACAUUAUGCAUAUCUCAAACAAAUAGAUGGAUAUCUCAAUAGACAGAUAAGCACAUAAGACAUCUCAGUCACACGAAAAUACCACUCAUGGUAAAGUAUAGUGAGAAGACUAACCUCGUAAGCUAGCAAGUGAAAAUCUCGUAUUCGGAAAUCUCAAACUCUAACCACUGGUCUAGCCUCUGCCUAACAUAUCUAAUAAUUAUCCCUAAUUAAUAAUGGCCCUCAAGAAGCUAGACUAACCCUUCUACAAACUCACAGAAGGGUAAAAGACUAUUUUACCCUUCCAUAGGCUUAAUAGUCCACAAUUUGACCAAACCCUAAAAGUCAACAAAAGUCAACGGCAUGGAGUACGAUGCGUGUACUCCAUAUCUACAUUGGGCGUACUCGGCUGCCAAGCAGGCAUCGGGGAAGUGCGACCCUACGCUAUGCGUACUAGAAGUUACGCUCGACGUACUCUCCAGUUUCCUCUUUCUCACUCAUUUGGUCUUAAACAGCUAAGACAUUGGCUCAUAUCGUAGAUCCAUACUCUCUAAUAGUUCUUAACCCAUAAAGUCAAUGACUUUAAGCCUUUGCAUGGCUGAAAUGGUCACCAACCCUCAAAACAUACACUCUUUUGUCUCAAGGAGCUCAUAACUCAUGCAUGGAGUGAUUCUAAUGUCCAAGAUUGUAUUUUUAUGACAUUACACCACUCAUAUAUCCAAAAGGGGGGGGGUCCUAGUCUCUGGAGUUCAAGAUCUCAUCAAGUCUCCACCUUUUUGGGACAAAACCCUAAAAUGCUCUAUUAAGAUGCUCAUAACAAAAGAGAGGUAAAGUUUGAAGCUUUAUACCUCUAUAAGAAGCUCCCAACUCAGAUAAGCUCGGAUCUAGAAGCUUGGAUUCACACUCCUUCUUCUUCAAGGCUUUCGCUUAUCUUCAAGAACACACAAGAACUUUCAAAGGCUCAUAAAUACACUCAUAAGCUCCAAAACGAGGGUUAGGGCACACUUAGGGUUUGUUGUCUGAGAAUGGUGGCCAUAAAUGAGGCCAUCAUAUCCUUUAAAUAGGGGACUUACCCUAGAUUAGGGUUUUCAUUCUGGGCCUAGUACGUCUAGUGUACCCAUGGGUACGCCCAGCGUACUAGGUGGUCUCCACGUCACUUGCACACUGAUGAGUACGCUAAGCGUACACCUCAGGUAUGCCCCACGUACUCGUUUUCACCCUUUUUAUAAUAAGGGCCAAAAUAGACAAUAUCUCAAAAGAUCAAGGUUCACAAGGUAUACUUGGACUCGGGAUGUUACAUCAUGUAUCCAUGAAGGUGGUGGAAACAAGAGAAAUGCAAGGGCACUAUAAGUUGAGGAGGAAAUCAUCAAGUUUACAAGAACGUUGGUGGAACAAAAUCAAAGAAGUGAACAAAAUCAUAAAAGUGAAAUAGAUAUUGAUGUAGAAGCAUGUAUAGAUAAAUUGGCAAAAGUGGGAUUUUUUUUAAGGGGGAGGGGGGAGAAGAUGAAAGACAGAAGAUUGCUCUUAGGAAAGUUUUGAUUAUUUUUGAGCAAAACAAACAAUCCAUAUGUGUGCAUGCAACCCUAAUUGUUGGAUCUACGUUUUCUCUAUUAGACAUACAAGCAUUGAACACAAAAACUAGAAACCCUAGCAUGCUUCUAAUGUUUUUGAAAUUGACAAAACAAAUAUUAGAAUACAUACCUUUCUUGUUAUAUUGUAAUAACAAUGAAAUCCUUGAAGAUCUUGAACUUUGAGAACAAGUGUCAUAAGUGUAACACCUCUAAUAGCUCACAAACACACCAAAUAAAAGGAUGAUUAUGAGAGGAGGAGAGAGGAGGUAAAUUUUGUUUUUUCUUCUAAGGAAUCAUGGCCGAAAUUACAAGGGUUAGGGACCCUUAUAUAGUACACCAAGCAGUCCAUGGAUAAACCUUAUCUGAUUAAAAUAUUAAUAUUUUAAACUUGCUUAUUAUCCAUCUCUUUGUUUAUCCUUAUGAGAUAAUUCUAGAAAUCCUAGAAUUCUAGAAUUCUCCCAUUUAAACCAUCCACCCUUCCUCUAGAAAGGUUCUGGACCAUUUUGCUCAACUAUUGAACAAUUACACUUUAGUCACUGCACUUUCAAUUGAUUCCUUUAAUCCGAAAAUUAAUUCCAAAUUAAUUUCUGAUUAAAUAUUAAUUAAUAAUAUAACUUCUAAUUAAUAUAUUAUUUCCAUAAUAUAUUACUAAAUCAUUUAUUUCAAUUUCUUAAUCAAAUUAAUAAAUUCUUCCUCUUCCUCAAUUAAUCAUCCUGUCAAGUUGCUAGUAUGAAGUCAAACCCAAAAAGGACUGUUAAUUCAAGUACAUACCAAUUAUAGUUAUGAGCUUAGACAACUAAUCCAACAAGUUUGGCUACAACUUACGCCUACUACUUGUGAGUCGUGGGUGAUGAGUAAGGGAAAGAAGUUUGGUUACCUUUGACGCCUUUUUAGAUGUUACGUUUGAUCACUUUACUAGUUCUUUGUUGCAUAACUUUUGAAAAUUGUGUUUGAUGACUUUUUGGAUGACUUUUGUUAUGUUAUGUUUAUUGAAUUUUAUAUGCAUGAGUUUUGUUAUUGGAUAAAUUAAUCAUGCAUGACUUUUGUUAUUGGAUAAAUUUUGGUGCAUGACUUUUGUUAUUGGAUAAAUUUUGGUUGUUAUUUAUUUCACAUUUGACAUGUUAUACGUAAUUGUUUUUUAUAGGUCAAGUAUGAUUUCGAAUGGUGAAGCUUUAGCUUUUCUUUUACUUGUAUGGUAUUAGUUGAUGUUAAACCGGGCAAGGCUAAACAAAAUUCAUAGAAUAAGAGAUAACGAUUCGAGCGGGUACACAUAUACACAAGAUUUGAUACACGGAUGCCCUAUACAAUGUUAUAUGUGACAUCCCCAAAAUCACGGCCAAAAAAGACCGAUUUUGNNNNNNNNNNNNNNNNNNNNNNNNNNNNNNNNNNNNNNNNNNNNNNNNNNNNNNNNNNNNNNNNNNNNNNNNNNNNNNNNNNNNNNNNNNNNNNNNNNNNNNNNNNNNNNNNNNNNNNNNNNNNNNNNNNNNNNNNNNNNNNNNNNNNNNNNNNNNNNNNNNNNNNNNNNNNNNNNNNNNNNNNNNNNNNNNNNNNNNNNNNNNNNNNNNNNNNNNNNNNNNNNNNNNNNNNNNNNNNNNNNNNNNNNNNNNNNNNNNNNNNNNNNNNNNNNNNNNNNNNNNNNNNNNNNNNNNNNNNNNNNNNNNNNNNNNNNNNNNNNNNNNNNNNNNNNNNNNNNNNNNNNNNNNNNNNNNNNNNNNNNNNNNNNNNNNNNNNNNNNNNNNNNNNNNNNNNNNNNNNNNNNNNNNNNNNNNNNNNNNNNNNNNNNNNNNNNNNNNNNNNNNNNNNNNNNNNNNNNNNNNNNNNNNNNNNNNNNNNNNNNNNNNNNNNNNNNNNNNNNNNNNNNNNNNNNNNNNNNNNNNNNNNNNNNNNNNNNNNNNNNNNNNNNNNNNNNNNNNNNNNNNNNNNNNNNNNNNNNNNNNNNNNNNNNNNNNNNNNNNNNNNNNNNNNNNNNNNNNNNNNNNNNNNNNNNNNNNNNNNNNNNNNNNNNNNNNNNNNNNNNNNNNNNNNNNNNNNNNNNNNNNNNNNNNNNNNNNNNNNNNNNNNNNNNNNNNNNNNNNNNNNNNNNNNNNNNNNNNNNNNNNNNNNNNNNNNNNNNNNNNNNNNNNNNNNNNNNNNNNNNNNNNNNNNNNNNNNNNNNNNNNNNNNNNNNNNNNNNNNNNNNNNNNNNNNNNNNNNNNNNNNNNNNNNNNNNNNNNNNNNNNNNNNNNNNNNNNNNNNNNNNNNNNNNNNNNNNNNNNNNNNNNNNNNNNNNNNNNNNNNNNNNNNNNNNNNNNNNNNNNNNNNNNNNNNNNNNNNNNNNNNNNNNNNNNNNNNNNNNNNNNNNNNNNNNNNNNNNNNCUCAAAACCAUAGAUCUGGCACCCUAAUGUCCAUUUCAUACGUAAUGCUCCAAAGUUGAUGCACAUUCAUUGGGGCUUUGGCUCAAAAAUCCAUAAAAGGUGCUCUACAAGAUGCAUGGGGCUCUCAUGGCCAUAAAUUUGGCACCUUUAUGCCAUGAGACCCUUCCAAUGACUCAGAUAUGAAGUCAAGACCCCAAAUAACACUCCAUAAAUCCGACUAUGGCUUGGAAAGCCCUAAAUGUAACCAAAACCCAAGUCUAAAGAUGAAUAAACACAUAGAAGACCAAAACAGGUGCAUUUUACCUUGAUUGUGCUUAAAAUGGAAGUAGAUAUUUGAAUUUCUAAGCCCCAACUCGAACUCUCAAGCUUCUCUCUUCAUCUUCAAGCUUCACAAACCACCACAUGCACCAAAAUGGCUCUAGCACACUAAAAAACAGCUUGGGUUACGAUACACAGCUUUCUGGGAGUGAUAAGGGCAAUGGAGGCUGAGAUAAGGUGUUUAAAUAGGGUGCAAACCCUCAUAUUUUGGGUUUCACUCAACCAACACCUACUCGCCAAGUCAGUCCCCCGACUCGUCGAGUAGGUUAAUUAAACUGUUCGUGGGUCACGACUCUACUCGACGAGUGUGGCCUCCAACUCAUUGAGUCCCAAAGAAAAACACAAAAUACUUGAAUAAUAGGAAUAUUAGGAAUCAGGUGUCACAAAUCUCCCCCACUUAUCUUAGACUUCUUCCUCGAAGUUUGCUACUCGAUUCUGAAAAAGCCCGGGGUAAUGCUCCCUUAUCUCGUCCUCCGGCUCCCAGGUCCAUUCUGAGCCCUUGAGGUGCUGCUAUUGCACCUUUACCAGCUCCACCCUCUUGUUUCUCAAAUCCCUUGACUUCCUAUCAAGGAUUGCCACUGGAAUCUCGAUGUAGUUCAAGUUGUCAUCAACCUGAAUAUCCUCUAGAGGCACCACUGCUGAAUUGUCCACCAGAAAUUUCCGCAACUGGGAGACAUGAAAAGUGAUAUGAAUAUGACCAAGUUCAGCUGGCAGAUCCAGCAUAUAUGCUACCUUUCCCACUCAGGUCGUAACCCUAAAGGGUCCAAUAUACUUGGGGCCCAACUUGCCCCACUUCUUGAACCGAAUGACGCCCUUCCAUGACGAAUGUCACACCCCCAAACCAAGGAUGGCGGAAACGUCCAGGGGUGGAGGACUUCAUGUAGUAUCACAACAAUGAGUAUAAUAGUGCUCAAAGUAAUACAACCAUCAUAAAUAUAAUUGAAAAAGUCACACCAAUGUAUAUGUUUACAUGUUUCAAAUCAAUUACAUUAUGAUGACAAAUCAACUAUUUGACGAUUCGACGUCCCAUCCUCAAAAUGCUGUUGGUUUUCCUGUUUCACUGAUUUCCUUAGAAUACAAGUUGUUUCAAAAAGAGUCAACACAAAGGUUGGUGAGUUCAUAAGAUAUUUCGUUAGAGAAGUAAACCGUUUUCCUUGUAAAAGCGAUAGAGUAUGUAUCCAGAAAAUCCGAUAUUUUCUUUACAAAAGUUAUGUUGUCCUAAAUCCUAGGACUGAGAAAUAACAAGUAUUUGCCAUACUUAAUGAUAUAAACGUGGUUUUAAAUCGGCAUAAAACCCUUUUUGAUUUAAAGGAAAAUCCCGUAACAAACGAUGUGAAGUCUUAAAUACCAAGACCAAAAGUGUACAAUAAUAUCCAUACUUAUUGAUAUAAAAAGUGAUUUUAAAUUGACAUAAAACCCCUUUUGAUUUAUAAAAAGUCCCGUAAACUUUAUGUGUUGUUAGCUCCCUAUGUGAGUCGCUAUAACCAUACUAUGACUAGAGGUAACCUGCACAACGUCUUUCAGACGCCCUGAUCCUAUGACUCUCAUCACCCACAGACCUGUCGGUAUGGUUGGAGCUAGCAGGGAAGUGUGGGAUGUCAACCCAAUAUAGAUCUAUACACAAUUAUCACGCUUUCCCUACAAGUGAUUUUGGUUAUAAUUUACAGGAAUUUGGAUUCCGUACUCGGACGUACGGGGAGAGAAUGUCUCACAAUCUGAGUUAACAAGUUUACGUGUAGUGUGCGUGAGUGUAGAACCUUUUUGUACAAAUGUACCCUUUUUGUAUGAGUAUGUUAUGUGAUGUAUCAUAAACUAUACCUAUUAUAGUUUAUUAAAGCAAGGGUGAAAGUGGUAAUAUACCUAAACUAUUCAUAACUUAGUUUACUCAAAUGUUUGUAUGUAAUAGAUGUACUUUGAUUAUAACAAAUUGUUAUUUCUAUGCUUUGUCUUGAAAAGUCCAUUUGUUAACUGAUGUAUGUCUACAUAAUAAGGAAAUAUUGCCAUAUAUUGCGAUAACAUAUAAUCACAUAAAGAUAUACACCUUGCUCAACAUGCUACAAGGUGAAAUGAAAUUGAUAGCAUUUUUCUGUUGUUAACAUUUUGAUUUGCGGUUCUUAGAAAAUUUAUAGAAAAAUCAUCAAAGGUUUAAAACAGAAUCCAAAAAUUCUGAGAGUUUGGAAAAUGAGUCUAGUUUCUCCAUAAUUUUUCUUACGUUUUUUAAUGACUUCUAACUUGUGUGAACAAGUCCAUAAUCACAGACUGGUCCGGAUUGAUGUUUUGAAAUGACAUGCUGUUUUGUAAAAAUCACCAUAAAUGGUAGAAAAAUCGUAUGGAGAUGUGAAACUAGUCAUUUUAAAGGUAAGAACGUGAAAUAUUUUCACCAAAUACAGUUUUGAAAACAAAAAUGUUUAAGUUGUCCAAAAUAGUCUGUGAUUGGAGUCCAGCUUUUCUGAUGAAAGCUGUUAGAAAAGUUUAGUUAUGUUCUUGGUGUUUUAACUUGUAUUCCCCCCCUAAAAACUUGAGAAAACAUGAAAAUGUAGGGGUAUGAACUCACCUUAAGUGUUUUCAGUAGAUGAUUGUUGAAGAAUGGAGGUGUUUAACUCAAGAACACUUGGAGAUGCCUUGAAGAUUUUUGAGAAUCUAGCAUCAUAGUUAUGGAGUUUGUAUAAGCUAUCAAUGAUUUGAGUAGAAUGAAGUGUAAAAAUCACAAGGAGGAUGAAUUACACUUACCAAGAGUGGAAGAACACUUGAUGAUCAGCCUUGGGAUCUUGAAUUAGAGAGAAAAGUUGGAGAGAAAAGUUGGAGUUGGAUCUUUGGUGGAAUGAGAGUGAUUGAAAGAAAAUGAGGAGAGAGGUUGAGUNNNNNNNNNNNNNNNNNNNNNNNNNNNNNNNNNNNNNNNNNNNNNNGGAGUGGGUGUGGGUGGUUGUUUGUGUCAUAAACUAAAGAAAAAGUCAACACUCCACCUCUUGUACUUCACCCACUCUUCUUGGAUAAGAUUUAUACCCAAAAAGGUGAUUAAUUAAUAAAUAUGGAGCUUUAUAUGUUAAAAUAAAGUUUUUGGUGAAAAUCCUGCGUUAAAACAAUUAAAAACGGGCCUAAAACGCAAAACUAGUUGAAAACCGGGUGAAAAAGAAUUUCCUGCGAGGCCUCUUGGUCCUAGGCCGAGGUUCUGUCCGAAGGGACCUUCGGUUGCUGAGAGGGUUCGGUCCGAGAAGGUGCAUUUCGCUUCUGAUGCCUUCGCUUCUGAUGACUUCGCUUCUGAUGCCUUCGCUUCUGACAAGUUCGCUUCUGAUGCCUUCGCUUCUGAUGUCUUCGCUUCUGAUGCCUUCGCUUCUGACAAGUUAGGUUCCUAAGAGGGGUUUCGGGUCCUUAAGAGGGUUCGGCUCCUUAAGAGGGGUUUCGGGUCCUUAAGUCUAUUUUAUCCGUUUUUACCCCGUUUUAAGCGGUUUUUGACCUGGUUAAGGGUCGGGAUGGCCCGAAAGACUACAAAAAGUUUAAGGAACUUUUGAGAGAGAUUUGGGAGAGAUUUCACAUUCUUGGAGAGAUUUGGGAGAGAUUUGACAUACUUGGAGAGAUUUNNNNNNNNNNNNNNNNNNNNNNNNNNNNNNNNNNNNNNNNNNNNNNNNNNNNNNNNNNNNNNNNNNNNNNNNNNNNNNNNNNNNNNNNNNNNNNNNNNNNNNNNNNNNNNNNNNNNNNNNNNNNNNNNNNNNNNNNNNNNNNNNNNNNNNNNNNNNNNNNNNNNNNNNNNNNNNNNNNNNNNNNNNNNNNNNNNNNNNNNNNNNNNNNNNNNNNNNNNNNNNNNNNNNNNNNNNNNNNNNNNNNNNNNNNNNNNNNNNNNNNNNNNNNNNNNNNNNNUAGAGAUUUGAGAGAUUUCUCAUACUUAGAGAGAUUUGGGAGAGAUUCUAGAUAAAGAGAGAUAGAGUGAAAACAAUUGAGAGAGGUUUUGUAUUUGACAUUUGUGAGUGUUUGGCUUCGCAACCCAAGGUCCGUAAGCUCCGUUAAGCCAUGUUCAAGGACCUUACACACUCCCGAUGAGUAUUCAAUAUUUUUUUAUCGGUUUGGUUCAUACUUAAUGCAUUUUUAGAUUAAUGAAAUCUAGAUAUACGAACUUUUCAAUUGAUGAUUUCUCAUUAGCGUAACAAGUUGUAUAGAAAUAAAACAGUGUAUACCCUAGUACACAAGGGUUAAUUAAGUCGAUUGGUUUGACUUGUUUACUUUAGUUGACUUUGACUUGACUGGAAUUUGACGGUUGUCACAUCAUCCCCCCGUUAGAGGGAAUUUCAUCCCGAAAUUAGCACUUUGACCGGGACUUCAUGAAUUUGGAGACAAGAUGGGGAAAGCUUUUCGUAGUACAAGAAAUUGGUAUGGCGGGGACCAAUCCUCCCGAUGUUAAAUGACGCCUUGGAAUUUCUUAUUGUAAGUUGAGCUAAGUCAAAUUAAAGGAGUUAUUGUUUUGAAAAGAUAGUGUAUUCUAUUUGUGCCUUUAUGCUCCCCGCUACAAAGUGGAGACUCUCGUUCAUUUCGAUUUCGCCAAGUGGUAAGUGAGAAUUCCCUCUCUUUAAUGAAUUUAAUCACCCAAGCUAUUAACAUGUCGCCCACGUUUUGAACAAUCCCUUUUUGUUCUGCCCGUUGGUUUGCUGUUUGUAGGACAUGCUCAAGUCUAACCUAGUUCCCUGCAAGGAUCGCCAGGGUCGCAUAAUGUCUUUGAUGUAUGUUCUAUUCGAUUCCUCUAUCCUGUCGGUUUCUUUGAUUAGUAGGGAGUGUGAGGAUUUGGCUAGUCUGUCAACGAUUAUCCAAAUGGUAUCGAGACCAUCUAUUGCCUUUGGGUAGCUUGGCUAUGAAGCCCAUGGUUAGCCGCUCCCAUUUCCUUUCAGGUAUCACUGGUUGUCGUAGGAGACGCGAAGGCUUCCUUUAUUCUCUCUUGACAUUGGCACAAGUCCGAUACUUGCCCACAUGUGUAGCAAUGUCUGCUUUCCUAUUUUCUCACUGAUGGUACUUUUUGAGGUCCGGACACAUCUUUUCUGAGCCUGGAUGAAGGGGAGUAGCGAGUUUUUCAUGUGCUUCGUUCGUGAUAUUAUCUAUGAAUCCAUCAACCUCGGUGUCCAGAUCCAGUUCAUGGGAUAACGUGCUCCGUUGUCUGUGCCUUCUAGGUUCUUAUGAGUGAUGAAUAUUGUAUGCUUCAUGUCAUGGAGAUAGUGCCUCCAGACCUCUACGGACUACACCACCGCUCAUAGUUCAAGGUCAUGAGCGACUUAGUCGACCUCGUACGACUUUAGCUAUCUUAAAUGAUAAGUAAUAACUUCUCCUCGGAGUGUUGCAUAGGUUCUGCUGUAGUGUUCCACGAUUUCUUAGCUCGGUAGGAAGCAUGUGGGUUUGGUUUAUGCGACUAGACUUAUUCGGAUGGUAGGAUGUUCACUCGUCCUCCUAGGCAACCUUGAUCCGAUGUUCAUGGCAGGACUCGUACUUGGUCUAUCUAUCAUUAACUUGUGCAUAUAGGUCGUAUGUACUUAAGGGUGGAUUUAAUUUUGUUGUCAAAAGAGACUAAUUAAGUAUAUGGGGAAUGAUUAUGUAAAUCAAUGAUUCUUGUAGUGUGGGUCAAUGAUCCAUGGCUAUUUCGGUAGGCUAAUCCAAUGAGAUAAUCCAUGGAUAGUCCAUGGAGGUUAAAUCCAUAGAUAGUCCAUGGAGGUUGAAUCCAUGGAGCAUGAGAAUGUGGAAAGCUAUGGGUCAUUAGGGUUUACAAAGUGUAACCCUAACAUGUGUAACACUAUAAAUAGAACCCUCCAUGGACGAAAAUCAGUUGCCACAUCUACUGAGAUAAGUAACUUAUUCUCGUAAAACCUCAUCUUGCAUAUUGGUGUUUCUGAACUAAUAGAGGUAUCACACUUGGGGUGCUCAAGCGUUCAAAUGUCAAGAAAUCUACCCUACUCAAGAGGUAAGCAUCUAAACUAACUUUUUAUUAUAUAGCUUCGAUUGUAUGCUAGCUAGGCUGAAUGCUUUGGAAAAACAAAAUGCAUGUAUAAUUAGAGAAAACAUAGAUCCAAAGCAUUUAGGGUUUAGGUUGUAACCCUUAAGGAGUCUACCAGUAUAAAUAGACCCUAUGGCAUAAGGAAUUCGGUACUUCACCUAAAGUAGAGAAACCCUGGCCGAAUUCCUCCCCUCUACUCUCUCCCAAAUCAUCUUCCUUGCUACUUGGUGUUUGUAAGCCAUUAGAGGAGUGACAAUUGUGACUCUAGAAGCUCCAAGACAACAAGAUCAACAAGGAAUUCAAAGGUAUGAUUCUAGAUCUAUUUCAAUAUUGUUAUUAUACCUAAAUAGUCAUUAGAAGUCUUGGAUUCAAAGCAUGUUUAAUUAGAAAGCCUAGAUCCAAGCAUUAGGGUUUUGCAUGUGCACAUAGGAAAGUUCUUAUGGCUAGAACCCAUCAGUGGUAUCAGAGCAUAGCUUGGUUUUCAUUAAAUUGUUGCUUAUUUGUUUGAAACUUAACUGCAAAAUUCGAUUUUUUUGUUUCUGAGUCAUGGACUCGGCGAGUUCCAUAGUGGACUCGGCGAGUUGGCCUGACUCGGCGAGUCCCUUGGUGCACUCGGCGAGUCCAAGCGUCAGGAAUAGCCAGAUUCAGGAUUUCUUCAUGAUUAUCUUAUGGAAACUUACCUUAAUCAUAUUAGAUCAACCCUAAUCCGAUUUUUUGAUAUAUAUGACUAUAAUCUUGAUCUAAUUAAAGAUAUUUAUCAACUAAUAAAAUAUUUAAUUUCCUUAUAUGAUAAUUAAUUAAUUAUUUUGAUUAUUUUGGUAAUUAUCUUUAAAAGAAAUCUUGAAUAAAUCAAAUAUAGAUAAUUAGGAUAUUAAUUGUUAAUUGGAAUUAUUUGUUAUUUGAUCCUCCAUGUUUUAAAUGUUUAAAACCUACCCUCAUGUUUUGAAAUUUACUUUUGUGAUUAAAAGUUUUAAUUUAGACAACUUAAAUUUCAAACCCUAGAUUUUAAAAGUUUUAAAAUACAACCCUAUACUAAUAUGAUAUUACUAGAAUAAUAUAUAUAUGUAUAACUAAAUGCUAGUCUUACCGUUAGUAGGCCUCAUUCACGAAGCCGAUCUAUAAGGUGGGUAUAAGGUUGCGGCCUAUAAAAUGGCGCUUAAUGGGUGUACACUCACACCCACCGCUUGCUUGAUUGGUGGAGGGUCGUUAGCCGAACGGGUAGGAUAGGGCAACCUCAUCCUCUCAUUAAAAGUAUAAUAAGAAAUAUAAAGUAACUACACAUUUUUUUAAAAUUUCCCAAUCCUAGUUACUUUAGGAAAAGUGAAUUGAUGCAAUCCCAUGAAAUUACACUUUGCACCUUGCUAAGAUGUUAGUGGAGCGUGUGUGGUUUACCGGCACACUAAUUGGUUCUAAGCGAAGGUGGCAAAGGGUGAUUCAUUGUUUAUCAUAGUUCGAUGGAGCGUGUGUGGUUUACCGGCACAUCGAAUAGGUGAUUGUUACAAUGAAGGCACCAUGUGAAUUUGCAUGGUAAUUCACACCCGCUUUGUGAUCCUCGGCAUCCCAGUCACAAACAAGAGGGGCAUAUCGAGAUUUAAACAUGCCAUUGAAUAGUUUCAAUGAAUCUCAUCCGAACCUAGGAAUUCUCAAAAACACUUAGGACUAAUAGUUUAAGUUUUGUGAUGGAGAAUUAGUGAAUCGUCAUUCACUUACCUUCAAUUUAUUUGCAUGUUAGAUUACGGCAUCCCUUUUCUAGUAUGUAAAUGUUAUUGUUGGAUCCUAGCCCUAAUUUUCUUAUUGGGUGAUAAUUAGGGAUUCUUAUUCUAAUCUAUCUUUGUCCUUUUCUAAUUGUAGAUGUCGAACGCAAACAACGCUGCUGCUAGUUCUUUCACGUUGAUGAGCCUUUGCCAAAAGGUCACCUUCGAUGGAACGAACUUUAGCGAAUGGAUAAGAUACAUUCGCACCAUUGCUCGCUAUGAGGAUAAGGAGUAUGUCCUCGAUGAGAAGCUCGAGAAAAUCAACCCCGAAAUUGCUACUCCCGCCGAAAUCACCGCCUUUGAAACUCAUGAGCGAGAUGCAACGAAGGUACAUUGCAUCAUGAUCGCCACCAUGAACUCCGAAUUCCAAAAGUCCUACGAGGACAUGUACCCGUACGAGAUGCAUCAAGACUUAUUGGAGAGGUACCACCAAAACGCGAGACAAGAGAGGUACGAGAUUUUCACUAACAUGAUUUCCGCGAAGAUGGGUCAUGGAGAAUCUCUUACCGUGCACUUGCAAAAGAUGCAAAGGUAUGUUGACCGCCUCCGCAAGUUAAAUGUUGACUUCGGUGAAGACUUGGCGAUCGACAUGGUGCUUCACUCUUUGCCUCCGAUGUACAACCAAUUUAGGAUGACCUACCACAUGAACAAAGAAGAGGUCACCCUAAGCAAGCUCCAAGGUCUCUUGAGGGUUGCUGAGAGCAACUUCAAAGACAAGUCUGUUGCACCUACUCCCAAUCCGCCCGCUGCUCCUGUCUUGGCUAUUGGACAAGGGAAGGGAAAGAAGAGGAAAGCUUCAUCGAAGAACUAUCGCAAGGUGAAAGCCCGAGAUGGUGCCUCUUCUAGUGGGACCAAAGUUGAUCCCGCCAAGCCCUGCUCUAACCCGAAGGAGGCAGAGUGCCACCACUGCCACAAGAUAGGACAUUGGAAGAGAAGCUGCCCGGAUUACCUGCAAGCAAUCAAAGAAGGAAAGAUCAAGCCAUCUUUCGCAGGUAUAUAUACAAUCAAAUCUAACGAUUCUAAUCAUGCUAUUUCUUGGGUUCUUGAUACCGGUUGUGGUUAUCACAUUUGUUCUAAUGUGCAGGGACUAAGAAGAAGUAGGGAUGUGGAGCAAGGAAGGAUCAAUCUAAUCAUGGGGAACAGAAGAUCGUCGCCUGUGACCAAGAUUGGAGUGUAUUCCUUAGUGCUUAGGAAUAGUUUAGUUUUAGAUUUGAACAAUUGUUGCUAUUCGCCAGAAAUGGCAAGAAACAUCAUUUCAUUUCAUGGUUUAUAUAGACAAGGAUUUAGAUUUUCUUUUAAUAAUGAGAAUGGUUCUAUUUUGGCUUAUCUAAAUGGUGUCUUUUACUUUGAAGCUAUACCAUGUAAUGGAAUAUAUGAAACCGUUAUGAUUGUUGAUAACUUAGGAAAUGAUGUUUUGAAUAUUGAUUCUUCCACUAGUAUGGAUAAAGCAUCCUUGUGGCAUUGUCGUCUUGGACAUGUCAACAAGAAACGCAUAGCCCAACUCCAAAAGGAUGGAGUGUUGGAGUCAUUCGACCUUAGGGAAGAUGACACAUGCGAGUCUUGUUUGCUUGGAAAGAUGACUAAGUCACCCUUCACGAGUACAUGUGAAAGGGGCGAGGGUCUAUUGGACCUAAUACAUACCGAUGUAUGUGGACCGUUUAGAUCAACCACGAAGGAUGGGAACCGCUUCUAUGUGACUUUUACCGAUGACUAUAGUAGAUAUGGGUAUAUCUACUUAAUCAAGCAAAAGUCAGAAACCUUUGAAAAGUUCAAAGAGUUCAAGAAUGAAGUGGAGAAUCAAUUGGGCAGGAAAAUCAAGAUGCUUCGAUCCGAUCGAGGAGGAGAGUACCUAAGUCUUGAAUUCCACGAUUAUCUCAAGGAGUGUGGAAUAGUUUCGCAAUUGACGCCUCCUAGGACACCGCAGUUGAAUGGUGUGGCAGAAAGGCGUAAUCGAACCUUAUUGGAUAUGGUUCGCUCUAUGAUGAGUCGUGCUUCACUACCUAUCUCUUUUUGGGGGUAUGCCUUAGAGACUGCCGCCCAUAUCCUUAACCGAGUCCCUACUAAGAAGGUUGCCAAAACACCUCACGAGAUGUGGACAGGGAAAGCUCCCUCGUUGGCACAUAUCAAGGUUUGGGGUUGCGAGGCUUUCGUAAGACGAGAUACUCACGACAAGCUUGAACCUCGAAGUGAGCGAUGUAUUUUCAUCGGCUACCCGCAGACAUCCUUUGGAUAUCUCUUCUAUAGACCGAAGGACAAUGUUGUCUUCGUUGCGAGGAGAGGAGUUUUCCGAGAGCGAGAACUCAUAAGCCAAGGAGACAGUGGGAGGCAAAUCGAGCUUGAAGAGAUUCAAGAGUCGAUAGAUGAAGGAACCUCUACCGCUGGCACUCAACCCGAGGAGGAAACUCCGGUUGAACCGAUUGACGAAUCCUUACCUCUUAGACGUUCCGAUAGAGUUAGAGUUCAUCCCCAGUUUUAUGGUUUUCAUAUUACUACCGAAGGGGACACGUAUAUUAGUGAUGGUACACUAAUAAAUCUUGAUGAACCUAAUAGCUAUAAGGAAGCCAUGGCAGGCCCGGAGUCUGCAAAAUGGAAAGAGGCAAUGGAUAGCGAGAUCCAAUCCAUGUAUGAUAACCAAGUUUGGAAUUUGGUUGAUUAUGUGCCCGGACGUAAGACCGUUGGGUGCAAAUGGAUCUUCAAGAAGAAGACCGACGUGGAUGGAAACGUACACACAUAUAAAGCGCGAUUGGUUGCGAAGGGCUUUACUCAAACUCCCGGAGUUGACUAUGAUGAGACCUUCUCACCAGUUGCGAAGAUUAAAUCUAUUAGAGUGAUGCUAGCAAUUGCCGCAUUUCAUGAUUAUGAGAUUUGGCAAAUGGAUGUCAAGACCGCUUUCCUUAACGGAAAGUUGGCUGAGGAUGUUUACAUGGCUCAGCCAGAGGGGUUUGUGGAUCCGAAGCAUCCGAAUAGAGUGUGUAAGCUUGAGAAGUCCAUUUAUGGACUUAAGCAAGCGUCUCGCAGAUGGAAUCUUUGCUUCGAUGAGAAAGUCAAAGAGUUUGGAUUUGUACGAAGCGAAGACGAAUCUUGUGUAUAUGUCAAAGCCAGUGGGAGUAUAGUAAGCUUCCUCGUUCUAUAUGUCGAUGACAUAUUACUCAUAGGAAACGACAUCCCGACUCUGCAGGAGGUUAAGUCCUGGCUCGGGAAGUGCUUCGCUAUGAAGGACCUCGGAGAGGCUUCUUACAUUUUGGGAAUAAGGAUAGUAAGAGAAAGAAGUAAGAGACUAAUUGGACUUAGUCAGAAUACUUACUUAGAGAAGGUACUAAAACGUUUUAGUAUGGAAAACUCAAAGAAGGGAGAACUACCGAUACAAAGUAAUGCCAAAUUGAGUAAGACUCAAAGUCCGAGUACCGAAGCUGAGAUAGCAGAAAUGAGCCGAGUACCAUACGCUUCCGCAGUUGGCUCAAUCAUGUACGCUAUGACUUGUACUCGCCCUGAUGUAGCCUUCGCUUUGAGCAUGGUUAGCAGAUAUCAAGGGAAUCCUGGCAAAGCACAUUGGAUUGCGGUGAAGAAUAUCCUUAAGUACCUUCGGAGGACGAAGGAAUGGUUCUUAGUCCUCGGAGGGAGUGAUGACUUGAAGGUGCGAGGGUAUAGUGACGCCAGUUUUCAGACCGACAGGGACAACUACCGUUCGCAGUCGGGCUGGGUCUUUACCCUAAAUGGAGGAGCAGUGACAUGGAAGAGUUCCAAGCAGGAAACCGUAGCUGAUUCAACGUGCGAAUCAGAGUACAUUGCAGCGAGCGAAGCGUCGAAGGAGGCAAUAUGGCUAAAGAACUUCAUCGGUGAUCUUGGAGUUGUACCUGCCAUAAAGGAGCCAAUGGAGAUUUUCUGUGAUAACGAAGGCGCGGUUGCCUUGACCAAGGAACCGAGGGAUCAUGGUAGAUCAAGACAUAUCGACAGAAAGUAUCACUUCAUUAGACAUCGUGUAGAAGAAGGACAACUCGUAGUGAAGAGGAUAUCAUCAGAAGAUAACCCAGCAGAUCCGCUUACGAAGGGACUGAGUAGGGUUAAGCACUUGCAGCAUGCUAGGAGUAUUGGGCUGAAGGAUGAUAUUAGCAUAGAUUAGAUAGUAUUAGAAACGUGUAAUAGAUAAAUGUAAUUAACAUUUGAUGAUUAAAUAAAGGAGUUUUAUUUAUGAGUAAUGUUACUAUCUUAUGUUAAUUGUUUAACUAUUGUUUCACUUUGCAUGUUUUGACUUCCAGAAUAAUUGAGUUUAUUAGGAAUAAUCGAAUUGUUCAAAUUGUCCACAAUCGUUCAUAUGUUGGAAGUAGAUAUGAAUGAAGAUUGUCAUGAAUUGGUGUGUAGAUUGUCUAAAUGGUGUUAGACAUAGCAAAGGGUUGCUGCAACGUUCAUGAGUGCUUAUGAACUAGUUUUGAGCAUUGGAACAAACCCGCGCUUGCUGGAAUCACCUUAUGGAAUAUGAUAUAAAAGGGUGAUCGCAAGACGAUAAUAUCAUAUAGUCUUAAAACCUAGAUAUAUGGUUUGUUAUUUGUUAAUUGAUUGUACAUUGAUAAUGCGAAAACGCAUCAGUAACUCGGUGUUAUAAAACGCAUUGUUGUGUAUAGUUGGUUAAUGAAUAAGUAAAUGCAUAUAAGUCGAAGUUUAUCUGUAACUUUUAUCUAAGAAGGUAAAAGCGAUAUCUCGGCCGCUCGAUGAUUUGAUUUGACUUAUGUGUCGGGCCCGGUCAGAACUGAAUUGAUGUGUUCGAUUAAGUUCUAUGUCAAAUAAAUCAGAGAUCGAGAAACCUAAAUGCUUGACUAACCAUUCCAUAGGAUUGUCAGCAUGAUAUCUAACAGAGGACUGUACGAUCCCUUAUCUAAAGGACAAGAUUGAUUAGAUCAGAGUUUGACAGCGUCUUUGAGAGCUACGAUUGCAAACCGAAUUGUACUUGUGCAUAUAGUUACUAGACUUAUCCAAGUGGGGGACUGUUGGAAUAGUGUCUAAGGCUGCAACUAUAUUAGGCAAGUAUUUGACCCGGUUGUGCAUGGUCCUUUUGGGUUGCCUUCACCAUAGCAACUUGAUAGGAUGAUUUAUUAAGAGAGAGUAAAUAUUAUUAAUAUAUUAUGAGAAUAAUAUAAACAAUAAUAAUAUUGUUAUUUGAUUAAUAUAAGUCAUCAAAUUAAUUGGAAUUAAUUUGGUGACUUAAAGAGAUUAAUUAAAUAAAAGGGUAUAAACUGUCAAUUGUUUGAUACUUAAACUUUAGACUGUAAAUCCAUAUAGAUAUGGACUGGACGGAUUCUAGAAGCUAAAGGAUAGCAUAAAUCGUCCAAGACUUAUCUAAGGAAUGGAUUUGGAUAGCCUUAAGAGAAGAUUAUCCAAUUAGGGUUUAGGUUGUAACCCUUAAGGAGUCUACAAGUAUAAAUAGACCCUAUGGCAUAAGGAAUUCGGUACUUCACCUAAAGUAGAGAAACCCUGGCCGAAUUCCUCCCCUCUCCUCUCUCCCAAAUCAUCUUCCUUGCUAUUUGGUGUUUGUAAGCCAUUAGAGGAGUGACAAUUGUGACUCUAGAAGCUCCAAGACAACAAGAUCAACAAGGAAUUCAAAGGUAUGAUUCUAGAUCUAUUUCAAUAUUGUUAUUAUACCUAAAUAGUCAUUAGAAGUCUUGGAUUCAAAGCAUGUUUAAUUAGAAAGCCUAGAUCCAAGCAUUAGGGUUUUGCAUGUGCACAUAGGAAAGUUCUUAUGGCUAAAACCCAUUAGGUCGGCUCUCCUCAACUCCUCAAUCCGUAUACUAAAACCCUCAAUUCAUCAAGCCGAACAUAUAAACCUAACCAGGGUCAAUACCAAAACUAGACAGAGUCAACAUUGGUCGAAGUCAACACCUAGUUGACUUGACUCACCGAGUUAGUCUACCAACUCGUCGAGUCCAUACGCCACUAACUCGAUCCAACCCCAACACCACUCGUUGAGUCUAGCAAGAACUUGUCGAGUUCUCCUUCAUUCAAACCAUCAGGACCAUCUUCAUCUGACUCGCCGAGCUCUUCCUUAAACUCAGCGAGUUCAUCUACCUUAUAAGAACGUGCCCAGUCUACUACUCGCCGACUUCUAUGCAAAACUCGUCUAGUCCAUCUUCAAAGAUUGGGAGAUUGGCUUGGACUCGCUGAGUCUGUUCAUACACUCAUCGAGUGCCAUGAUUCCUAGGUCCAUUUUUGCACCUACACAUCUACAAGACUUUCCUCCCUAACAACUGGUCCAUCCGAAGAAACGAUUUGGUGGUCAUUACACCGCGACUCGCCGAGUCCCAAGAACAAAUCAUCGAGUCCAUGCUUGACCAACACUAUACAGUCAAUUUAUAUGGGACUUAACACUUCAAAACCAUAAAUCUGGCCCCCUAAUGUCCAUUUCAUACGUAAAGCUCCAAACUUGAUGCACAUUCAUUGGGGCUUUGGCUCAAAAAUUCAUAAAAGGUGCUCUACAAGAUGCAUGGGGCUCUCAUGGCUAUAAAGUUGGCACCUUUAUGCCAUGAGACCCUUCCAAUGACUCAGAUAUAAAGUCAAGACCCCAAAUAACACUCCAUAAAUCCGACUAUGGCUUGGAAAGCCCUAAAUGUGACCAAAACCCAAGUCUAAAGAUGAAUAAACACAUAGAAGACCAAAACAGGGGCAUUUUACCUUGCUUGUGCUGAAAAUGGAACUAGAUAUUUGAAUCUCUAAGCCCCAAGUCGAACUCUCAAGCUUCUUUCUUCAUCUUUAAGCUUCACAAACCACCACAUGCACCAAAAUGGCCUUAGCACACUAAAAAACGGCUUGGGUUACAAUACACAACUUUCUGGGAGUGAUAAGGGCAAUGGAGGCUGAGAUAAGGUGUUUAAAUAGGGUGCAAACCAUCAGAUUAGGGUUUUCACUCAACCAACACNUCAGUCCCCCGACUCGUCGAGUAGGUUACUUAAACUGUUCGUGGGUCACGACUCUACUCGACGAGUGGGGCCUCCAACUCAUUGAGUCCCAGAGAAAAACACAAAAUACUUGAAUAAUAGGAAUAUUAGGAAUCAGGUGUUACAAAUCUUCCCCACUUAACUUAGACUUCGUCCUCGAAGUUUGCUACUCGAUUCUGAAAAAGCUCGGGGUAAUGCUCCCUUAUCUCGUCCUCCGGCUCCCAGGUCCAUUCUGAGCCCUUGAGGUGCUGCUAUUGCACCUUUACCAACUCCACCCUCUUGUUUCUUAGAUGCCUUGACUUCCUGUCAAGGAUUGCCACCGGACUCACGACGUAGUUCAAGUUGUCAUCAACCUAAAUAUCCUCUAGAGGCACCAAUGUUGAAUUGUCCACCAGACAUUUCCGCAACUGGGAGACAUGAAAAGUGCUAUGAAUACAACUGAGUUCGGUUGGUAGAUCCAGCCUAUAUGCUACCUUUCCCACUCCGGCCGUAAGCCUAAAGGGUCCAAUAAACUUGGGGCCCAACUUGCCCCGCUUCUUGAACCGAAUGACGCCCUUCCAUGGCGACUGUCACACCCCCAAACCAAGGAUGGCGUAAACGUCCGGGGGUGGAGGACUUCAUGUAGUAUCACAACAAUGAGUAUAAUAGUGCUCAAAGUAAAUACAACCAUCGUAAAUAUAAUUGAAAAAGUUACACCAAUGUAUAUGUUUACACGUUUGAAAUCAGUUACAUUAUGAUGACCAAUGAACUAUUUGACGAUUCGACAUCGCAUCCUCAAAAUGCUGUUGGUUUUCCUGUUUCACUGAUUUCCUGAGAAUACAAGUUGUUUGAAAAAGUGUCAACACAAAGGUUCGUGAGUUCAUAAGAUAUUUCGUUAGAGAAGUAAAUCGUUUUCCUUGUAAAAGCGAUAGAGUAUGCAUCCAGAAAAUCCGAUAUUUUCUUUAUAAAAGUUAUGUGGUCCUAAAUCCCAGGACUGAGAAAUAACAAGUAUUUGUCAUACUUAAUGAUAUAAAAGUGGUUUUAAAUCGGCAUAAAACCCUUUUUGAUUUGAAGGAAAGUCCCGUAACAAAUGAUGUCAAGUCUUAAAUACCAAGACCGAAAGUGUACAGUAAUAUCCAUACAUAUUGAUAUAAAAAUUGAUUUUAGAUCGACAUAAAACCCCUUUGAUUUAUAAAAAGUCGCAUAAGCUUUAUGUGUUGUUAACUCCCUAUGUGGGUCGCUAUAACCAUACUAUGAGUAGAGGUAACCUGCACAACGUCUUUCAAACGCCCUGAUCCUAUGACUCUUGUCACCCGCAGACCUGCCGGUCUGGCUGUAGCUAGCAGGGAAGUGUGGGAUGUCAACCCCAAUAUAGAUGUAUACACAAUUAUCACGCUUUCCCUAGAAGAGAUUUUGGUUAUAACNACUUACAGGAAUUUGGAUCCCGUACUCGGACGUACUGGGAGAGAAUGUCUCACAACCUGAGUUAACAAGUUUACGUGUAGUGUGCAUGAGUGUAGAACCUUUUUGUACAAAUGUACCCUUUUUGUAUGAGUAUGUUAUGUGAUGUAUCAUAAACUAUACCUAUUAUAGUUUAUUAAAACAAGGGUGAAAGUGGUAAUAUACCUAAACUAUACAUAACUUAGUUUAUUCAAAUGCUUGUAUGUAAUAGAUGUACUUUGAUUAUAACAAAUUGUUAUUUCUAUGCUUUGUCUAGAAAAGUCCAUUUGUUAACUGAUGUAUGUCUACAUAAUAAGGAAAUAUUGCCAUAUAUUGCGAUAACAUAUAAUCACAUUAAGAUAUACACCUUGCUCAACAUGCUACAAGGUGAAAUGAAAUUGAUAGCAUUUUUCUGUUGUUAACAUUUUGAUUUCCUGUUCUUAGAAAAUUUAUAGAAAAAUCAUCAAAGGUUUAAAACAGAAUCCAAAAAUUCUGAGAGUUUGGAAAAUGAGUGUAGUUUCUCCAUAAUUUUUCUCCUGAUUUUUAAUGACCUAUAACUUGUGUGAACAAGUCCUAAAUCAUAGACUGGUCCGGAUUGAUGUUUUGAAAUGAUAGCCUGUUUUGUAAAAAUCACCAUAAAUUGUAGAAAAAUCAUAUGGAGAUGUGAAACUAGUCGUUUUAAAGGUAAGAACGUGAAAUAUUUUCACCUAAUACAGUUUUGAAAAAAAAAUGUUUAAGUUGUCCAAAGAGUCCGUGAUUGGAGUCCAGCUGUUCUAAUGAAGGCUGUUAGAAAAGUUGAGUUACGUUCUUCAUGUUUUAACCCGUAUUCCACCCCCCCCCCCCUAAAAUCUUGAGAAAACAUGAAAAUGUAGGGGUAUGAACUCACCUUAUGUGAUUUCAGUAGAUUAAUGUUGGAGAAAGGAAGUGUUUAACUCAAGAACACUUGAAGAUGCCAUGAAGAUUUUCGAGAAUCUAAGAUCAAAGUGAUGGAGUUCGCGUAAGCAAUCAAUGAUUUGAGUAGAAUGAAGUGUAAUAAUCACAAGGAGGAUGAAUUAUACUUACCAAGAAUAUGAUAAAGCUUGAUGAUCAGCCUUGGAAUCUCGAAAUCAAGAGAAAAAGUUUGAGAGAAAAGUGUUUGAUCUUUUGGUGGAAAAUGAGAGAAUGAAUGAAGUGUGAGGAGAGAGGAUGGAUGUUCCAUCUAUAAGAACGUGGUAAAUGGCUGGAAAUCAUGAUAAAUUACUUUGAAAUGAGCUAGGUAUGGUGUAAGGAGUGUGGCUGGUCAUGGUGUGGGUGUGGGUGGUUGCUUCUGUCAUAAACUAAAGAAAAAGUCAACACUCCACCUCUUGUACUUCACCCACUCUUCAUGGAUAAGAUUUAUACCCAAAAAGGUGAUUAAUUAAUAAAUAUGGAGCUUUAUAUGUUAAAAUAAAGUUUUGGGUGAAAAUCCCGCGUUAAAACAAUUAAAAACGGGCCUAAAACGCAAAACUAGUUGAAAACCGGGUGAAAAAGAGCUUCCUGCGAGGCCUCUCGGUCCUAGGCCGAGGUUCUGUCCGAAGGGACCUUCGGUUCAUGAGAGGGUUUGGUCUGGGAAGGUGCAUGUCGCUUUUGAUGCCUUUGCUUUUGACAAGUUUGCUUUUGAUGACUUCGCUUCUGAUGCCUUCGCUUCUGACAAGUUUGCUUCUAAUGCCUUCGCUUCUGAUGUCUUCGCUUCUGAUGGCUUCGCUUCUGACAAGUUAGGUUCCUAAGAGGGGUUUCGGGUCCUUAACAUGUCGCCCACGUUUUGAACAAUCCCUUUUUGUUCUGCCCAUUGGUUUGCUGUUUGUAGGCCAUGCUCAAGUCUAACCUAGUUCCUUGCAAGGAUCGCCAGGGUCGCAUAAUCUCUUUGAUGUAUGUUCUAUUCGAUUCCUCCAUCCUGUCGGUUUCUUCGAUUAGUUGGGAGGGUGAGGAUUUGGCUAGUCUGUCAAUGGUUAGCCAAAUGGUAUCGAGACCAUCCAUUGCCUUUGGGUAGCUUAGCUAUGAAGCCCAUGGUUAGCCGCUCCCAUUUCCUUUCAGGUAUCACUGGUUGUCGUAGGAAACACGAAGGCUUCCUUUAUUCUCUCUUGACAUUGGCACAAGUCCGAUACUUGCCCACAUGUGUAGCAACGUCUGCUUUCCUAUUUUCCCACUGAUGGUACUGUUUGAGGUCCGGACACAUCUUGUCCGAGCCUAGAUGAAAGGGAGUAGCGAGUUUUUCGUGUGCUUCAUUCGUGAUAUUAUCUAUGAAUCCAUCAACCUCGGUGUCCAUAUCCGGUUCAUGGGAUAACAUGCUCUGCUGUCUGUGCCUUCUAGGUUCAUAUGAUUGGUGAAGAUUGUAUGCUUCAUGUCGUGGAGAUGGUGCCUCCAGACCUCUAGGGAGUACACCACCACUCAUAGUUCAAGGUCAUGAGUGACUUAGUCGACCUCGUACGUCUUUAGCUAUCUUAAAUCAUAUGUAAUAACUUCUCCCCAGAGUGUUGCACAGGUUCUGCUGCAGUGUUCCAUGAUUGCUUAGCUCGGUAGGAAGCAUGUGGGUUUGUUUUAUGCGACUAGACUUAUUCGGAUGGUAGGAUGUUCACUCGUCCUCCUGGGCAACCUUGAUCCGAUGUUCAUGGCAGGACUCGUACUUGGUUUAUCCAUCAUUAACUUGCACAUAUAGGUCGUAUAUACUUAAGGGUGGCUUUAAUUUUGUUGUCAAAAAAGAGACUAAUUAAGUAUAUGGGGAUUGAUUAUGUAAAGCAAUGAUUCUUGUAGUGUGGGUCAAUGAUCCAUGAUUAUUUCGGUGGGCUAAUCCAAUGAGAUAAUCCAUGGAUAGUCCAUGGAGGUUAAAUCCAUAGAUAUUCCAUGGAGGUUGAAUCCAUGGAGCAUGAGAAUGUGGAAAGCUAUGGGUCAUUAGGGUUUACAAAGUGUAACCCUAACAUGUGCAACACUAUAAAUAGAACCCCCCAUGGACGAAAAUCAGUUGCCACAUCUAUUGAGAUAAGUAACUUAUUCUCGUAAAACCUCAUCUUGCAUAUUGGUGUUUGUGAACUAAUAGAGGUAUCACACUUGGGGUGCUCAAGCUUUCAAAGGUCAAGAAAUCUACCCUACUCAUGAGGUAAGCAUCGAAACUAACUUUUUAUUAUAUAGCUUCAAUUGUAUGCUAGCUAGGUUGAAUGCUUUGGAAAAACAAAAUGCAUGUAUAAUUAGAGAAAACAUAGAUCCAAAGCAUUUAGGGUUGCAUGUGCACCAUAGAGUGUUAUAGUGCUCAAAACCCAACAUUUCAUUCACACACUUUUAUGAUAUUUCAGGGACUUUUGAGGAAGGAUCUUACUUGAGGAGGUAAAUAAGAGAUGUGGACAAAGUUUCGGGACUUGCAGAGCACCGGGGAUGAAGAUAUCAAGGAAUUGAAGAUUUUGGCUUUUUAGAGAAUUACGCGGUCGUGUGAAUGGAACUGUAACAUCCCAAAAUUCGAGGCCAAAAAUUUCAAUUUUGAUUAGGUGAUUUUUAAAAGGGUACAUCAAAACAUUGCGAAAAUCAUGUCAAUACAUAAAACCCUAAUUUUGAAAACCAAAUCAUCUGAAAUAACAAAAUAUCAUAGUACAAUCCCAGAAAACUCUAAGCGGAAAUCAUAAGUGUGUGUGUGUGUGAUGCACUGCUACACCGUCGGCACCUUCCCCUUAGAUGAAGAGGUAUCUGAAACCAAAACUAAAACUAUAAGCACAAAGUCCCCCAUCAUACCACAUACCAUACAAUCACAUAGCAUACAUACUACCGGUCAAUUCUGGGGCGCCCGUCCUACCCAUGUCAAGCCAUUCUGGGGUGUUGACAUACCCAUAUCAAGCCAUUAUGGGGUGCUAACCUACCCAGUUCGAACUAUUCUGGGGUACUGACCUACCUUCCGAUCUAUCUCAACCAAACAUGGGGACUAUUUCACCCCUACUACUAACACAUAACAUCAUAUCAUAAUCAUGCUGUCAAACAUAUCUGGGGUGUCCAACCUACCCAUUGGUCCUAAAGACUGAAUCAGGGACUAGUCCCCUUCGACUGAUACUAUCUCAUAUAACAUGACAAUUAACAAACUAGCAUACUCACAUAUCUAGCAGUCUAGCAUGCUCACAUAUCCAACAAUCAGACCAAACAGUUAUCAUAAAGAUGAGCAUCCCAACUAGCAAUUACUAGUAGGCCGACCUUGGUGCCUUAGAUCCUCUCCUACUGGAAGGUAACUCACCUCGAUUUUGUGUAGUGUCUGAACUGUCCUCAGCGUGAAGGUCGGCUCUCCUCAACUCCUCAAUCCCUAUACUAAAACCCUCAAUUCAUCAAGCCGAACAUAUAACCCUAACCAGGGUCAAUACCAAAACCAGACAGAGUCAACAUUGGUCGAAGUCAACACCUAGUUGACCUGACUCACCGAGUUAGUCUACCAACUCGUCGAGUCCAUACUCCACUAACUCAAUCCAACCCCAACACCACUCGUUGAGUCUAGCAAGAACUCGUCGAGUUCUCCUUCAUUCAAAUCAUCAGGACCAUCUUCAUCUGACUCGCCGAGUUCUCCCUUGAACUCGGCGACUUCAUCUACCUCAUAAGAACGUUUCCAGUCUAUGACUCGUCGAGUUGUAUGCACAACUCGUCGAGUCCUUCUUCAAAGAUUAGGAGAUUGGCUUGGACUCGCCGAGUUUGUUCAUACACGCAUCGAGUUCCAUGAUUCUUAGGUCCAUUUUUACGUCUAAACAUCUACAAGACUUUCCUCCUUAACAACUGGUCCAUCCAUAGAAAGGAUUUGGUGGUCAUUACACCGUGAAUCGCCGAGUCCCAAGAACAACUCGGCGAGUCCAUCCUUGACCAACACUAUACAGUCGAUUUAGAUGAGCCUUAACACCUCAAAACCAUAGCUCUGGCACUAGAAUGUCCAUUUGAUACGUAAAGCUCCAAACCUGGUGCACAUUCAUUGGGGCUUUGGCUCAAAAAUCCAUAAAAGGUGCUCUACAAGAUGCAUGGGUCUCUCAUGGAAAUAAAGUUGGCACCUUUAUGCCAUGAGACCCUUCCAAUGACUCAGAUAUGAAGUCAAGACCCCAAAUAACACUCCAUAAAUUCGACUAUGGCUUUGGAAGCCCUAAAUGUGACCAAAACCCAAGUCUAAAGAUGAAUAAACACAUAGAAGACAAAAACAGGGGCAUUUUACCUUGCUUGUGCUGAAAAUGGAACUAGAUAUUUGAAUCUCUAAGCCCCAUCUCGAACUCUCAAGCUUCUUACUUCAUCUUCAAGCUUCACAAACCACCACAAGCACCAAAAUGGCCUUAGCACACUAAAAAACGGCUUGGGUUACAAUACACAGCUUUCUGGGAGUGACAACGGCAAUGGAGGCUGAGAUAAGGUGUUUAAAUAGGGUGCAAAACCUCAGAUUUAGGGUUUCACUCAACCAACACCUACUCGCUAAGUCAGUCCCCCGACUCGUCGAGUAGGUUACUUAAACUGUUCAUGGGUCACGACUCUACUCGACGAGUGGGGCCUCCAACUCAUUGAGUCCCAUAUAAAAUCACAAAAUACUUGAAUCAUAGGCAUAUUAGGAAUCAGGUGUUACAAAUCUCCCUCACUUAUCUUAGACUCCGUCCUCGAAGUUUGCUACUCGAUCCUGAAAAAGCUCGGGGUAAUGCUCCCUUAUCUCGUCCUCCGGCUCCCAGGUCCAUUCUGAGCCCUUGAGGUGCUGCUAUUGCACCUUUACCAGCUCCACCCUCUUGUUUCUUAGAUCCCUUGACUUCCUGUCAAGGAUUGCCACCGGACUCACGAUGUAGUUCAAGUUGUCAUCAACCUAAAUAUCCUCUAGAGGCACCAAUGCUGAAUUGUCCACCAGACAUUUCCGCAACUGGGAGACAUGAAAAGUGCUAUGAAUACGACUGAGUUCGGUUGGCAGAUCCAACCUAUAUGCUACCUUUCCCACUCCGGCCGUAAACCUAAAGGGUCCAAUAAACUUGGGGCCCAACUUGCCCCGCUUCUUGAACCGAAUGACGCCCUUCCAUGGCGAGUGUCACAUCCCCAAACCAAGGAUGGCGGAAACGUCCGGGGGUGGAGGACUUCAUGUAGUAUCACAACAAUGAUUAUAAUAGUGCUUAAAGUAAAUACAGCCAUCAUAAAUAUAAUUGAAAAAGUUACACCAAUGUAUAUGUUUACAUGUUUCAAAUCAAUUACAUUAUGAUGACAAAUGAACUAUUUGACGAUUCGACAUCCCAUCCUCAAAAUGUAGUUGGUUUUCCUGUUUCACUGAUUUCCUGAGAAUACAAGUUGCUUGAAAAUUUCUCAACACAAAGGUUGGUGAGUUCAUAAGAUAUUUCGUUAGAGAAGUAAACCAUUUUCCUUGUAAAAGCGAUAAAGUAUGUAUCCAGAAAAUCCGAUAUUUUCUUAAUAAAAGUUAUGUGGUCCUAAAUCCCAGGACUGAGAAAUAACAAGUAUUUGCCAUACUUAAUGAUAUAAAAGUGGUUUUAAAUCGGCAUAAAACCCUUUUUGAUUUGAAGGAAAGUCCCGUAACAAAUGAUGUCAAGUCUUAAAUACCAAGACCGAAAAUGUACAGCAAUAUCCAUACUUAUUGAUAUAAAAAGUGAUUUUAAAUCGACAUAAAACCCCUUUUGAUUUAUAAAAAGUCCCGUAAACUUUAUGUGUUGUGAACUCCCUAUGUGAGUCGCUAUAACCAUACUAUGACUAGAGGUAACCUGCACAACGUCUUUCAGACGCCCUGAUCCUAUGACUUUUGUCACCCGCAGACCUGCCGGUCUGGCUGUAGCUAGCAGGGAAGUGUGGGAUGUCAACCCCAAUAUAGAUCUAUACACAAUUAUCAUGCUCUCCCUACAAGAGAUUUUGGUUAUAACUUACAGGAAUUUGGAUCCCGUACUUGGACGUACGGGGAGAGAAUGUCUUACAACCUGAGUUAACAAGUUUACGUGUAGUGUGCGUGAGUGUAGAACCUUUUUGUACAAAUGUACCCUUUUUGUAUGAGUAUGUUAUGUGAUGUAUCAUAAACUAUACCUAUUAUAGUUUAUUAAAACAAGGGUGAAAGUGGUAAUAUACCUAAACUAUACAUAACUUAGUUUAUUCAAAUGUUUGUAUGUAAUAGAUGUACUUUGAUUAUAACAAAUUGUUAUUUCUAUGCUUUGUCUAGAAAAGUCCAUUUGUUAACUGAUGUAUGUCUACAUAAUAAGGAAAUAUUGCCAUAUAUUGCGAUAACAUAUAAUCACAUAAAGAUAUACACCUUGCUCAACAUGCUACAAGGUGAAAUGAAAUUGAUAGCAUUUUUCUGUUGUUAACAUUUUGAUUUGCUGUUCUUAGCAAAUUUAUUGAAAAAUCAUCAAUGGUUUAAAACAGAAUCCAAAAAUUCUGAGAGUUUGGAAAAUGAGUCUAGUUUCUCCAUAAUUUUUCUCAUGAUUUUUAUUGACCUCUAACUUGUGUGAACAAGUCCAUAAUCACAGACUGGUCCGGCUUGAUGUUUUGAAAUGAUAGGCUGUUUUGUAAAAAUCACCAUAAAUUGUAGAAAAAUCGUAUGGAGAUGUGAAAAUAGUCAUUUUAAAGGUAAGAACGUGAAAUAUUUUCACCUAAUACAGUUUUGAAAACAAAAAUGUUUAAGUUGUCCAAAAGAGUCCGUGAUUGGAGUCCAACUUUUCUAAUGAAGGCUGUUAGAAAAGUUUAGUUAUGUUCUUGGUGUUUUAACUUGUAUUCUCCCCUAAAAACUUAAGAAAACAUGAAAAUAUAGGGGUAUGAACUCACCUUAUGUGAUUUCAGUAGAUGAAUGUUGGAGAAGAGAAGUGUUCAACUCAAGAACACUUGAAGAUGCCUUGAAGAUUUUCGAGAAUCUAACAUCAAAGUGAUGGAGUUUGUGUAAGCAAUCAAUGAUUUGAGUAGAAUGAAGUGUAAUAAUCACAAGGAGGAUGAAUUAUACUUACCAAGAAUAUGAUAAAGCUUGAUGAUCAGCCUUGGAAUCUCGAAAUCAAGAGAAAAAGUUUGAGAGAAAAGUGUUUGAUCUUUUGGUGGAAAAUGAGAGAAUGAAUGAAGUGUGAGGAGAGAGGAUGGAUGUUCCAUCUAUAAGAACGUGGUAAAUGGCUGGAAAUCAUGAUNAAUUACUUUGAAAUGAGCUAGGUAUGGUGUAAGGAGUGUGGCUGGUCGUGGAGUGGGUGUGGGUGGUUGCUUGUGUCAUAAACUAAAGAAAAAGUCAACACUCCACCUCUUGUGCUUCACCCACUCUUCGUGGAUAAGAUUUAUAUACCCAAAAAGGUGAUUAAUUAAUAAAUAUGUAGCUUUAUAUGUUAAAAUAAAGUUUUGGGUGAAAAUCGCGCGUUAAAACAAUUAAAAACGGGCCUAAAACGCAAAACUAGUUGAAAACCGGGUGAAAAAGAGCUUCCUGCGAGGCCUCUCGGUCCUAGGCCGAGGUUCUGUCCGAAGGGACCUUCGGUUCCUGAGAGGGUUCGGUCCAAGAAGGUGCAUUUCGCUUCUGAUGCCUUCGCUUCUGACAAGUUCGCUUCUGAUGACUUCGCUUUUAUGACUUCGCUUCUGAUGCCUUCGCUUCUGACAAGUUCGCUUCUGAUGCAUUCGCUUCUGAUGUGUUUGCUUCUGAUGCCUUCGCUUCUGACAAGUUAGGUUCCUAAGAGAGAUUUCGGGUCCUUAAGAGGGUUCGGCUCCUUAAGAGGGGUUUCGGGUCCUUAAGUCUAUUUUAUCCGUUUUUAGCCCGUUUUAAGCGGUUUUUGACCUGGUUAAGGGUCGGGAUGGGCCGAAAGACUACAAAAAAUUUAAGUAACUUUUUAGAGACAUUUGGGAGAGAUUUCACAUUCUUGCAGAGAUUUUGGAGAGAUUUGACAUACUUGGAGAGAUUUUUCAUACAAAGAGAGAUUUGGGAGAGAUUUCACAUACAAAGAGAGAUUUGGGAGAGAUUUCACAUGCUUAGAGAGAUUUCUCAUACAAAGAGAGAUUUGAGAGAGAUUUGACAUUCUUGGAGAGAUUUCUCAUACAAAGAGAGAUUUCUCAUACAAAGAGAGAUUUGGGAGAGAUUUGACAUUCUUGGAGAGAUUUCGGAGAGACUUAAGAUACUUGGAGAGAUUUCUCAUACUUAGAGAGAUUUGGGAGAGAUUUCUCAUACUUAGAGGGAUUUGGGAGAGAUUUUAGAUAAAGAGAGAUAGAGUGAAAACGAUUGAGAGACGUUUCGUGUGUGACAUUUGUGAGUGUUUGGCUUCGCAAUGCAAGGUCUGUAAGCCCCGUUAAGCCAUGUUCAAGGACCUUAAACACUCCCGAUGAGUAUUCAAUAUUGUUUUAUCGGUUUGGUUCAUACUUAACGCAUUUUUAGAUUAAUGAAAUCUAGAUAUACAAACUUUUUAAUUGAUGAUUUCUCAUUAGCAUAAUGAGUUGUAUAGAAAUAACACAACAUAUACCCUAGUACACAAGGGUUAAUUAAGUCGAUCUGUUUGACUUGUUUACUUUAGUUGACUUUGACUUGACUGGAAUUUGACGGUUGUCACAUCAUCCCUCCGUUAGAGGGAAUUUCAUCCCGAAAUUACCAAUUUGACCGAGACUUCAUGAAUUUGGAGAAAAGAUGGAGAAAUAUUUUCGUAGUACAAGAAAUUGGUAUGGCGGGGACCAAUCCGCCCAAUGUUAAAUGACGCCUUGGAAUUUCUUAUUGUAACUUGAGCAAAGUCAAAUUAAAGGAGUUAUUGUUUUGAAAAGAUAGUGUAUUCUAUGUGUUACUUUAUGGUCCCCGCUACAAAGUGGAGACUCUCGUGCAUUACGAUUUUGCCAAGUGGUAAGUGAGCAUUCCCUCUCUUUACUGAAGUUAAUCACCCAAGCUAUUAACAUGUCACCCACGUUUUGAACAAUCCCUUUUUGUUCUGCCCGUUGGUUUGCUGUUUGUAGGCCAUUCUCAAAUCUAACCUAGUUCCCUGCAAGGAUCGCCAGGGUCGCAUAAUCUCUUCGAUGUAUGUUCUAUUCGAUUCCUCCAUCCUGUCGGUUUCUUUGAUUAGUAGGGAGUGUGAGGAUUUGGCUAGUCUGUCAACGGUUGUCCAAAUGGUAUCGAGACCAUCCAUUGCCUUUGGGUAGCUUAGCUAUGAAGCCCAUGGUUAGCCACUCCCAUUUCCUUUCAGGUAUCACUGGUUGUCGUAGGAAACACGAAGGCUUCCUUUAUUCUCUCUUGACAUUGGCACAAGUCCGAUACUUGCCCACAUGUGUAGCAAUGUCUGCUUUCCUAUUUUCCCACUGAUGGUACUUUUUGAGGUCCGGACACAUCUUGUCCGUGCCUGGAUGAAAGGGAGUAGCGAGUUUUUCGUGUGCUUCGUUCGUGAUAUUAUCUUUGAAUCCAUCAACCUCGCUGUCCAGAUCCGGUUCAUGGGAUAACAUGCUCUGCUGUCUGUGCCUUCUAGGUUCUUAUGAUUGGUGAAGAUUGUAUGCAUCAUGUCAUGGAGAUAGUGCCUCCAGACCUCUAGGGAGUACACCACCACUCAUAGUUCAAGCUCAUGAGUGACUUAGUCGACCUCGUAUGGCUUUAACUAUCUUAAAUCAUAAGUAAUAACUUCUCCUCGGAGUGUUGCAUAGGUUCUGCUGCGGUGUUCCAUGAUUGCUUAGCUCGGUAGGAAGCAUGUGGGUUUGGUUUAUGCGACUAGACUUAUUCGGAUGGUAGGAUGUUCACUCGUCCUCCUGGGCAACCUUGAUCCGAUGUUCAUGGCAGGACUCGUACUUGGUUUAUCCAUCAUUAACUUGCGCAUAUAGGUCGUAUGUACUUAAGGGUGGCUUUAAUUUUGUUGUCAAAAGAGACUAAUUAAGUAUAUGGGGAUUGAUUAUGUAAAUCAAUGAUUCUUGUAGUGUGGGUCAGUGAUACAUGAUUAUUUCGGUGGGCUAAUCCAAUGAGAUAAUCCAUGGAUAGUCCAUGGAGGUUAAAUCCAUAGACAGUCCAUGGAGGUUAAAUCCAUGGAGCAUGAGAAUGUGGAAAGCUAUGGGUCAUUAGGGUUUACAAAGUGUAACCCUACCAUGUGCAACACUAUAAAUAGAACCCCCCAUGGACGAAAAUCAAUUGCCACAUCGAUUGAGAUAAGUAACUUAUUCUCGUAAAACCUCAUCUUGCAUAUUGGUGUUUGUGUAACGACCCAUCUCCGGUACGAUGAUUCCAUAGUAUUUAAUUAGAAGUUUGCAAGAGGGACUCGGUGAGUUCAUAUCCUGACUCGCCGAGUAGGGACGGGAUUUUAUGCACAUGUUAGUUGGCGACUCGACGAGUCCAUAUUCGGGACUCGGCGAGUCUGUCUGCCUGGAAGAAACCCUAAAUCCCCGGGUUGCUCACUAUUUAAACCACCUUAUAGCCCCCAAUCUCACCUCCUUCACCCUCAGAGAGCUGUGAGAAAACCUUAAUCCAUCCUUGAGUGAUUUAAGUGUUCUUGUGUGAAAUUUUGAAGGCUUGAAGAAGAAGAAGAAGAAAGGAGCAAGGGGAAGAGGUGUAGAGCAAAGAUCCAAGGGCAAAUCAGAGUCCAUUGAGGUAAUCUUCGGAUUUCCUUCCGUUUUAUGCUUAAAACCUCCAUUAGAACUCUUCUAGAACUAGAUUGAUGCUUUUCUCAAGCCUUAUGCUUGUAUGGAUGUCCUAAUAGUUCGAGAUAUCCUUAGAUCUGUUCAUUUAGGAGUUGUAGAACCCGGAUCUAUUGCCUUUUUGAAGAUACUUUGCAUGAAAACCCUAGAUCUAGCUUUUAUUAUGCUUUUUGAGCCAUUUUAUCUUCAUGGAUGCAUACGGGCACGUAAAGAUAGAAUCUUUAUGUGCUAAUCGAGUUAAGGGAGUCCAGAUCUAUAAGUUUUAUACACUGGAUUCAAGUAGAGUCGAGUUUAGAGUAGCUGCAUGCAAGCGACUCGGCGAGUCGGAAGAACAACUCGGCGAGUCGAGUCGCGAGUCCCCGAUUUUCCCUUUUUGAGUGAUGCCGAGUGGGACCAGUGAGUGGUAGAGUGGACUCAGCGAGUUUGAGGUCAGACUCAGUAAUGGAGGGACUCGGCGAGUUGUUCAUACAACUCGGCAAGUCCAAGGCAACCUUCUUAGCUUGAAGAACAACUCGUCGAGUUGUUCACACGACUCGGCCAGUCGGCUGCAGAUUGCCUGAAGUUUUAGAUUCGAAAGGGAACUCGUCGAGUUGAUGCCAUACUCAACGAGUAGCAGCGAGUAGGGUUGAGAAGUGAGAAUAGGGACUCGGCGAGUUGGCGGCCCAACUCGGCGAGUCAGGUCAACUGUAGGUUGACUUUGACCAGGAGAGUUGACUUUGACCAAGGGUAAAAGAGUCAUUUUACCCCAGUGCAGUGAUUAGCAUUUGAUUGAGUGUGUUAUGGAUUUGUAGCCGGAGAGAUACCGGAGCAGCAGCAGUUAGCUUCCAGAGCCAUACACACAGCAGCCAGUUCACGAGGUGAGUUUCCUUCUAGUAGGAACGGGUCUAAGGCCACAAUGCCGGCCCGUUUAGUUAGCAGUAGUUUCAGGACUUCUGUCCUAAGCAGUUGUUAGUAUGUUUGACGCCUCCGUGGCUCAGACAGGAUUUAUGUGUUCAUGCUAGUUGUUAUGUUAUGCUAUGCUGUGUUCAGCCAGUUAGCUCCGGACUUCGGUCCGAUGUAGGGGACAAGGUCCCAGUCAGUUAGCUUCGGACUUCGAUCCGAUGUAGGGGACAAGGUCCCAGUCAGUUAGCUUCGGACUUCGGUCCGAUGUAGGGGACAAGGUCCCAGUCAGUUAGCUUCGGACUUCGGUCCGAUGUAGGGGACAAGGUCCCAGUCAGUNNNNNNNNNNNNNNNNNNNNNNNNNNNNNNNNNNNNNNNNNNNNNNNNNNNNNNNNNNNNNNNNNNNNNNNNNNNNNNNNNNNNNNNNNNNNNNNNNNNNNNNNNNNNNNNNNNNNNNNNNNNNNNNNNNNNNNNNNNNNNNNNNNNNNNNNNNNNNNNNNNNNNNNNNNNNNNNNNNNNNNNNNNNNNNNNNNNNNNNNNNNNNNNNNNNNNNNNNNNNNNNNNNNNNNNNNNNNNNNNNNNNNNNNNNNNNNNNNNNNNNNNNNNNNNNNNNNNNNNNNNNNNNNNNNNNNNNNNNNNNNNNNNNNNNNNNNNNNNNNNNNNNNNNNNNNNNNNNNNNNNNNNNNNNNNNNNNNNNNNNNNNNNNNNNNNNNNNNNNNNNNNNNNNNNNNNNNNNNNNNNNNNNNNNNNNNNNNNNNNNNNNNNNNGUUUGUGAACUAAUAGAGGUAUCACACUUGGGGUGCUCAAGCUUUCAAAGGUCAAGAAAUCUACCCUACUCAAGAGGUAAGCAUCGAAACUAACUUUUUAUUAUAUAGCUUCAAUUGUAUGCUAACUAGGUUGAAUGCUUUGGAAAAACAAAAUGCAUGUAUAAUUAGAGAUAACAUAGAUCCAAAGCAUUUAGGGUUGCAUGUGCACCAUAGAGUGUUAUAGUACUCAAAACCCAACAUUUCAUUCACACACUUUUAUGAUAUUUCAGGGACUUUUGGGGUAGGAUCUUACUGGAGGAGGUAAAUAAGAGACGUGGACAAAAUUUCGGGACUUGCAGAGCACCGGGGAUGAAGAUAUCAAGGAAUUGAAGAUUUUGGCUUUUUAGAGAGUUACGCGGUCGUGUGAAUGGAACAUUAACAUCCCAAAAUUCGACGCCAAAAAUUUCACUUAUGAUUAGGUGAUUUUUAAAAGGGUUCAUAAAAAAAUUGCGAAAAUCAUGUCAAUACAUAAAACCAUAAUUUUCAAAACCAAAUCAUCUGAAAUAACAAAAUAUCAGAGUACAAUCCCAGAAAACUCUAAGCGGAAAUCAUAAGUGUGUGUGUGUGUGUGUGAUGCACUGCUACACCGUCGGUACCUUCCCCUUGGAUGAAGAGGUACCUGAAACCAAAACUAAAACUAUAAGCACAAACCAUAGUGAGUUCCCCCAUCAUACCACAUACCAUAAAAUCACAUAGCAUACAUACUACCGGGGAAUUCUGGGGCGCCCGUCCUACCCAUGUCAAGCCAUUCUGGGGUGUUGACAUACCCAUAUCAAGCCAUUCUGGGGUGCUAACCUACCCAGUUCGAGCUAUUCUGAGUUGCUGACCUACCUUCCGAUGUAUCUCAACCAAACACGGGGACUAUUUCACCCCUACUACUAACACAUAACAUCAUAUCAUAAUCAUGUUGUCAGACAUAUCUGGGGUGUCCAACCUACCCAUUGGUCCUAAAUACUGAAUCAGGGAUUAGUCCCCUUCGACUGAUACUAUCUCAUAUAACAUGGCAAUUAACAAACUAGCAUACUCACAUAUCUAGUAGUCUAGCAUGCUCACAUAUCCAACAAUCAGACCAAACAGUUAUCAUAAAGAUAAGCAUCCCAACUAGCAAUUACUAUUAGGCCGACCUUAGUGCCUUAGAUCCUCUCCUACUGGAAGGUAACUCACCUCGACGUUGUGUAGUGUCUGAACUAUCCUCAGCGUGAAGGUCGGAUCUCCUCAACUCCUCAAUCCCUAUACUAAAACCCUCAAUUCAUCAAGCCGAACAUAUAACCCUAACCAGGGUCAAUACCAAAACCAGACAGAGUCAACAUUGGUCGAAGUCAACACCUAGUUGACCUGACUCACCGAGUUAGUCUACCAACUCGUCGAGUCCAUACUCCACUAACUCGAUCCAACCCCAACACCACUCGUUGAGUCUAGCAAGAACUCGUCAAGUUCUCCUUCAUCCAAACCAUCAGGACCAUCUUCAUCAGACUCGCCGAACUCUUCCUUGAACUCGGCAAGUUCAUCUACCUCAUAAGAACGUGUCCAGUCUACUACUCGCCAACUUGUAUGCAAAACUCGUCGAGUCCAUCUUCAAAGAUUGGGAGAUUGGCUUGGACUCGCCGAGUCUGUUAAUACACUUAUCGAGUGCCAUGAUUCCUAGGUCCAUUUUUGCAUCUAAACAUCUACAAGACUUUCCUCCCUAACAACUGGUCCAUCCAUAGAAAGGAUUUGGUGGUCAUUACACCGCGACUCGCCGAGUCCCAAGAACAACUCGUCGAGUCCAUCCAUGACCAACACUAUACAGUCGAUUUAUAUGAGCCUUAACACCUCAAAACCAUAGAUCUGGCACCCUAAUGUCUAUUUCAUACGUAAAGCUCCAAACUUGAUGCACAUUCAUUGGGGCUUUGGCACAAAAAUCCAUAAAAGGUGCUCUACAAGAUGCAUGGGGCUCUCAUGGCCAUAAAGUUGGCACCUUUAUGCCAUGAGACCCUUCCAAUGACUCAGAUAUGAAGUCAAGACCCCAAAUAACACUCCAUAAAUUCGACUAUGGCUUGGAAAGCCCUAAAUGUGAAUAAACACAUAGAAGACCAAAAUAGGGGCAUUUUACCUUGCUUGUGAUGAAAAUGGAACUAGAUAUUUGAAUCUCUAAGCCCCAACUCGAACUCUCAAGCUUCUUUCUUCAUCUAUAAGCUUCACAAACCACCACAUGCACCAAAAUGGCCUUAGCACACUAAAAAACGGCUUGGGUUAUGAUACACAACUUUCUGGGAGUGAGAACGGCAAUGGAGGCUGAGAUAAGGUGUUUAAAUAGGGUGCAAAACCUACGAUUUAGGGUUUCACUCAACCAACACCUACUCACCAAGUCAGUCCCCCGACUCAUCGAGUAGGUUACUUAAACUGUUUGUGGGUCACGACUCUACUCGACGAGUGGGGCCUCCAACUCAUUGAGUCGCAGAGAAAAACACAAAAUACUUGAAUAAUAGGAAUAUUGGGAAUCAGGUGUUACAAAUCUCCCCCAUUUAUCUUAGACUUCGUCCUCGAAGUUUGCUACUCGAUCCUGAAAAAGCUCGGGGUAAUGCUCCCUUAUCUCGUCCUCCGGCUCCCAGGUCCAUUCUGAGCCCUUGAGGUGCUGCUAUUGCACCUUUACCAACUCCACCCUCUUUUUUCUUAGAUCCCUUGACUUCCUUUCAAGGAUUGCCACUGGACUCACAAUGUAGUUCAAGUUGUCAUCAAACUGAAUAACCUCUAGAGGCACCACUGCUGAAUUGUCCACUAGACAUUUCCGCAACUGGGAGACAUGAAAAGUGCUAUGAAUACGAUUGAGUUCGGCUGGCAGAUCCAGCCUAUAUGCUACCUUUCCCACUCGGGCCGUAAACCUAAAGGGUCCAAUAUACUUGGGGCCCAACUUGCCCUGCUUCUUGAACCGAAUGACGCCCUUCCAUGGCGACUGUCACACCCUCAAACCAAGGAUGGCGGAAACGUCCGGGGUUGGAGGACUUCAUGUAGUAUCACAACAAUGAUUAUAAUAGUGCUCAAAGUAAAUACAACCAUCAUAAAUAUAAUUGAAAAAGUUACACCAAUGUAUAUGUUUACAUGUUUCAAAUCAAUUACAUUAUGAUGACAAAUGAACUAUUUGACGAUUCGACAUCCCAUCCUCAAAAUGUUGUUGGUUUUCUUGUUUCACUGAUUUCCUGAGAAUACAAGUUGUUUGAAAAAGUUUCAACACAAAGGUUGGUGAGUUCAUAAGAUAUUUCGUUAGAGAAGUAAACCAUUUUCCUAGUAAAAGCGAUAGAGUAUGUACCCAGAAAAUCUGAUAUUUUCUUUAUAAAAGUUAUGUGGUCCUAAAUCCCAGGACUGAGAAAUAACAAGUAUUUGCCAUACUUAAUGAUAUAAAAGUGGUUUUAAAUCGGCAUAAAACCCUUUUUGAUUUGAAGGAAAGUCCCGUAACAAAUGAUGUCAAGUCUUAAAUACCAAGACCAAAAGUGUACAGUAAUAUCCAUACUUAUUGAUAUAAAAAGUGAUUUUAAAUCGACAUAAAACCCCUUUUGAUUUAUAAAAAGUCCCGUAAACUAUAUGUGUUGUUAACGCCCUAUGUGAGUCGCUAUAACCAUACUAUGACUAGAGGUAACCUGCACAACGUCUUUCAGACGCCCUGAUCCUAUGACUUUUGUCACCCGCAGACCUGCCGGUCUGGCUGUAGCUAGCAGGGAAGUGUGGGAUGUCAACCCCAAUAUAGAUCUAUACAUAAUUCUCACGCUCUCCCUACAAGAGAUUUUGGUUAUAACUUACAGGAAUUUGGAUCCCGUACUCGGACGUACGGGGAGAGAAUGUCUCACAACCUGAGUUAACAAGUUUACGUGUAGUGUGCGUGAGUGUAGAACCUUUUUUUACAAAUGUACCCUUUUUGUAUGAGUAUGUUAUGUGAUGUAUCAUAAACUAUACCUAUUAUAGUUUAUUAAAACAAGGGUGAAAGUGGUAAUAUACCUAAACUAUACAUAACUUAGUUUAUUCAAAUGUUUGUAUGUAAUAGAUGUACUUUGAUUAUAACAAAUUGUUAUUUCUAUGCUUUGUCUAGAAAAGUCCAUUUGUUAACUGAUGUAUGUCUACAUAAUAAGGCAAUAUUGCCAUAUAUUGCGAUAACAUAUAAUCACAUAAAGAUAUACACCUUGCUCAACAUGCUACAAGGUGAAAUGAAAUUGAUAGCAUUUUUCUGUUGUUAACAUUUUGAUUUGCUGUUCUUAGAAAAUUUAUAGAAAAAUCAUCAAUGGUUUAAAACAGAAUCCAAAAAUUCUGAGAAUUUGGAAAAUGAGUCUAGUUUCUCCAUAAUUUUUCUGACGAUUUUUAAUGACCUCUAACUUGUGUGAACAAGUCCAUAAUCACAGACUGAUCCGGAUUGAUGUUUUGAAAUGAUAGGCUGUUUAGUAAAAAUCACCAUAAAUUGUAGAAAAAUCGUAUGGAGAUGUGAAAGUAGUCAUUUUAAAGGUAAGAACGUGAAAUAAUUUCACCAAAUACAGUUUUGAAAACAAAAAUGUUUAUGUGGUCCAAAAGAGUCCGUGAUUGGAGUCCAGCUUUUCUGAUGAAGGUUGUUAGAAAAGUUUAGUUAUGUUCAUGGUGUUUUAACCUGUAUUCCCCCCCCCCUAAAAUCUUGAGAAAACAUGAAAAUGUAGGGGUAUGAACUCACCUUAUGUGAUUUCAGUAGAUUAAUGUUGGAGAAAGAAAGUGUUUAACUCAAGAACACUUGAAGAUGCCUUGAAGAUUUUCGAGAAUCUAAGAUCAAAGUGAUGGAGUUUGUGUAAGCAAUCGAUGAUUUGAGUAGAAUGAAGUGUAAUAAUCACAAGGAGGAUGGAUUAUACUUACCAAGAGUAUGAUAAAGAUUGAUGAUCAGCCUUGGAGUCUUGAAAUCAAGAGAAAAAGUUUGAAAGAAAAGUGUUUGAUCUUUUGGUGGAAAAAGAGAGAAUGAAUGAAGUCUGAGGAGAGAGGAUGGAUGUUCCAUCUAUAAGAACGUGGUAAAUGGCUGGAAAUCAUGAUAAAUUACUUUGAAAUGAGCUAGGUAUGGUGUAAGGAGUGUGGUUGCUCAUGGAGUGGGUGUGGGUGGUUGCUUGUGUCAUAAACUAAAGAAAAAGUCAACACUCCAUCUCUUGUACUUCACCCACUCUUCUUGGAUAAGAUAUACCCAAAAAGGUGAUUAAUUAAUAAAUAUGGAGCUUUAUAUGUUAAAAUAAAGUUUUGGGUGAAAAUCCCGCGUUAAAACAAUUAAAAACGGGCCUAAAACGCAAAACUAGUUGAAAACCGAGUGAAAAAGAGCUUCCUGUGAGGCCUCUCGGUCCUAGGCCGAGGUUCUGUCCGAAGGGACCUUCGGUUCCUGAGAGGGUUCGGUCCGAGAAGGUGCAUUUCGCUUUUGAUGACUUCGCUUUUGACAAGUUCGCUUCUGAUGAUUUCUCUUCUGAUGCCUUUGCUUCUGACAAGUUCGCUUCUGAUGCCUUCGCUUCUGAUGUCUUCGCUUCUGACAAGUUAGGUUCCUAAGAGGGGUUUCUGGUCCUUAAGAGGGUUCAGCUCCUUAAGAGGGGUUUCGGAUCCUUAAGUCUAUUUUAUCCGUUUUUACCCCGUUUUAAGCGGUUUUUGACCUGGUUAAGGAUCGGGAUGGGCCGAAAGACUACAAAAAGGUUAAGGAACUUUUUAGAGAGAUUUAGGAGAGAUUUCACAUUCUUGGAGCGAUUUGGGAGAGAUUUGACAUUGUUGGAUAGAUUUCACAUACGGAGAGAGAUUUAGGAGAGAUUUCACAUUCUUGGAGCGAUUUGGGAGAGAUUUGACAUUGUUGGAUAGAUUUCACAUACGGAGAGAGAUUUAGGAGAGAUUUCACAUUCUUGGAGCGAUUUGGGAGAGAUUUGACAUUGUUGGAUAGAUUUCACAUACGGAGAGAGAUUUAGGAGAGAUUUCACAUUCUUGGAGCGAUUUGGGAGAGAUUCUAGAUAAAGAGAUAUAGAGUCAAAACGAUUGAGAGAGGUUUUGUGUGUGACAUUUGUGAGUCUUUGGCUCUGCAACGCAAUGUCCGUAAGCCCCGUUAAGCCACGUUCAAGGACCUUACACACUCCCGAUGAGUAUUCAAUAUUGUUUUAUCGGUUUGGUUCAUACUUAACGCAUUUUUAGAUUAAUGAAAUCUAGAUAUACGAACUUUUCAAUUGAUGAUUUCUCAUUAGCAUAACGAGUUGUAUAGAAAUAACACAGCGUAUACCCUAGUACACAAGGGUUAAUUAAGUCGAUCGGUUUGACUUGUUUACUUUGUAUGAAAUGAAAUGUUUUGUUCUUAUUUGUUUGCUUCUAGAAAAUCCUAUAUUUUCUACUAGUAUAAAUGUAGCCUUCUCUCAAGACCAAUGUUUGUUUCUAGAAAAUGUAUGUAACUAUAAAAUUUCCAAUACGUCUGAAAAACCCCGUAAAUCAAUGUGUUUUCAAUACUCCAUGUGAGUUUUAUAACCAUGAUAUUGACUAGAAAUGCCUAUACAUAACGUUCUUAAGGCGUUGGAAUGUUCUGACGUUUGUCACCCCAAAUGGUGGACUGUAGCUAACAGUCAGGGCGCGGGUUGUCAAGCCCGUAUAGAUCUAUACACAAACACCAUGCUCCCCCUCCAAGGGAUUCUGGUAUAUAAUAUAGGACUUGAAAUGCGUACUCGAACGUAUGUGAAGUUGAUGUCUCACAAAACUUAGUAUAAAACAGAUUUACGUGAAAAAAUGUUCGUUUGUUCUUGUAUAUGAAAGUAAACUUCUUGAAAUAGUGUUUCUAGUAUGUAAAAGUUUGUAAUGCUCACGUAAAACUAUACCUAUUAUAGUUUUCUAAAAAUGUGUCUCGUUUGCAUAGUAAUCCCUAGUAAAAUGUUCACUUGUUAUGAAAAGUGUAAUUUUUGAUGUAGAAGACAAGUUUGUAAACAAAACAUAUAUAUGUAUAUUUUCGAUGUAGAAGACAAGUUUGUAAACAAAACAUAUAUAUGUAUAUGGUUAUAUAUAUGUAUAAAUUUUAAAAGAUGAUUUGGUAUGUUUCGUAAUUGUUGUUCAUAUUCUUACGUUUUUAUUAGAAACUUUGCAUGAAAUAAUCCUUAAGUUUGAUACUAAAGACCUUUUUGUACUUAUCACUUUUGUAAAAAUGGUAAUUAAACAUAUUUAAAUGAUUGUGUUUUAACUUCCUUAAUGUAUAAACAUUGCUCAAAAAUGUUAGAAGGUGUUAAUAAAUGUAUAAACCACUUUUGACAGUUUUACCCUUUACUGUCCCUGUUUUUAGAAAACUCAUAGAAAAAUCCUCGUAAGUCAAAAACUGAAUCCGUCACCUCUGAGAGUUUAUAAAAUGAGUCUACUUUGUUCCUAAUUUUUAUUAUGAUUUUUAGUGGUCUCAAACUAGUGUGAAAAUGAACAUCUUCACAGACUGGUCCGAAAUCACUUCUGAAAUGACAGACAGUUUUAUAAAAAUCGCCAUAAAUUGUAGAAAAAUCGUGUGAACACGUGCGAGUAGUCAUUAGAAAGGUAUGAACUUAAAAUAUUUGCAUAUUGUACAUUUUUUAAUGAUAUUAAGUUUAAGAUGGUCAAAACAGUCCGUGAACAGGACUCAACUUUUCUGUAGAAAGUUGUCAUUUAAAUUUAAGUUAUGUUUAGUGUUCUAACUUGUAUUCCCCCCCUUAAAACUUGAAUAAAACAUGAAAAUGUAGGGGUAUGAACUCACCUUAUGUGAAUACUUGAAGAAUGGAAGGUUGAAGAUGAACUUUUGGUUGUUGGUUUGAUGCUCCAAAACAGCCACUCUUUUGGCUAUGUUGCUGUCACGAAAAUUUCACAGCAAAAGAGCAAGAAAAAGGGUAGUUUACUCACUGUUUUGAAUCAAUAAUUUUGAGUAUCAAAACAAGUAACUUCCAGGGGUAUUUGGUGGUAAAAAUAUCAAGCAAAAGGAAGGUGUAGAUGGGUGAAAUGGUGGCUGAAACACAAAAGGGACAGCAACCCUUUAGUUCAUGGUUUUGAUGGCUUUGGAAGGAAGUUCUUGUGCUUGAAAAUGAGAUGAAGGUUGAGAGUAAUUACUUGGAGUAUUGGCUGGUCAAAUGAGGGUAAAAUGAAGAGGAAAUUUCGUGGUUAUGAAGGAGGAAAGGGUGGAAGAGGAUAAGGGGACAAAACCUAGACUAGCUUGUGAUGGGAUGUGAGUUUAAGUGAUGUGAUCUUGUCUAGCCACUUGCUUGGGUGGUUGUUUAGAGAUAGAGUUAGUUAACUAACUAACUACUAGUUAUUUAGUUAGUUAGGAGUUCUAGUUAAGGAGAGGGAAGGUCUUAAUCUCGAAAAUUAGAAGAGGGAUUAAUAAGCAUUCUUAGUAAAAUGUCUUAAGUGAUUAAGCACUUAUUAGUUAAGUUGGCACUUAUCUCCACCAAUUCUCUUAUCUUAAUUGAUUUAGACAUCAUAAAACUUACAUGAAAUCAUUUUAAUUCAUGACUUAUAACUAGUCAUUCACUAGAUAAUAAUACAUAUAUACAAAUACAUACAUGUAUACUUAGUAUAAAAUAACAAUGUAGUUUUUGUGUAUUUGAACUUUAAUGUUUAUGUUUUAUUCUUUUUAUUCAAAAACACUUAAAUACAUUUUAAUUAUACCUUAUAAUAAUUCAUUUUAUAUUUUAAUUUAUUUAAAUAUAAAAUUUAUUGAGCAAUGUAUAAUUUCGUGACAUUUAACCGGUUAACCAUAUCGUUAAACACGUUUUGUCACUUUGGUUCGUAUAUUUGUCAAAUUUAGAUCCUUCACAUCUAUUAAGCAAACGUUUUACAUAGAACCUAACUUACUUAUCAACUAGAGACAUGUUGAUACAAAAAUUAAGUUUGUUGCGUUUAAAUGAUGUUAUAUGCUAAUUUCACAAACCGGUGAUGGUUCGUAGUCAUACAUCAUAACGAAAUUAUCAUUAGUUACUUGUUUUAUAUUUCACAAGAACUUAUUUAAAUAAAAGAGGUUAAAUUCUUUCAACCAUUCUUGAUAAAAUACUCAUAUUGUUUAAUAAUCAAAACAUAGCAUCGUACGAUCGUUCCUAUUUUUACCAAUUGUUACAUUCUCCCCCCGUUAAAAGAAUUUUGCCCUGAAAUUCAACUUGUAGACGGCAUAUCACUAAACAAUUGGGGGUGUUUCUUUUUUCUUUUCAUUUGAUUCUCGCGUUCCCUAGUGAAUUCAGGUCCUCGCAUGGCGUUCCAACGGGCCUUCACUAUGGGUAUGCGGUUUUGUGUCGUCCUUUUGACCUCCCAAUCCAUGAUUUCCACCAGUUCUUCGAUGAAGUUUAGACUCCCGUUGAUUUCAAUUUCAUCCAGUGGAAUAAAAAGAGUCUCAUCAGACAAGCUCUUCUUCCGAUCCUGGGAUGCCUUCAAUCAUUCACGGGUUUGAACAAUCUUCUCUGUAGUUUCUCGUAUGAUCUGGGGGCUGGUGAGAGUGUUGUUAGGAACUUGCCUGUUAGCUAUUUGUGUGUCACCUACCUCAUCCCAUCAAAGAGGUGAUCUACACUUGCUUCUCUAGAGAGCUUCUAAUGACACGACCUUGAUGUUAAUGUAAUAGUUGAUGUUGUAUAAGGAUUCGAUGAAUGGUUCUUUCUCUUUGUCUUUCAGUUUGAGGGUGAUAAAAAGGAUUUCUUUAACGACUAUUAAAAACACGAGGCGAAUCGUCUGUCCCUUAUCCAAAAUGAUAGAUAGUGGUAUGCUAUGUAGUCUCACAAUCUUCUUGUGAUAUGCUCGUGUCAGCUUUUCUAUUUUUCUUUGUAGCCUUGGUCGGUAGAAAGUGUGUGGGUUUGGUUGAUUUGUCUACGAUUGCUCAAGUGGUAGCAUGUCCAUCCACUGUCUUGGGUAACUUGUCAUGGAGUUCAUGGUAUGACUCAUAACUGAUUCAUCUAUCAUCUCUUUGUGUUUAUAAGUCGUAUAUAAUUAAGAUUGAAAAGACAGUCGAAUCGGUGAUUCUAUUCUAAGCCCACAUCCAAACAAGGAAAAGGAUUUAAAGCGGAAUUACCAACCCUAAGUCCGUAGAAUCUUAAUUAUAUAGGGCUCCAAUAUAUACACUUAGUAAUCAUAGAUUCACUAGUAUGGGUCCAUAGUCUCUACUUGAGUGGGGUGAUUAACUUGGGUGAGAUGGCAUUUACAACAACCCUUUUCCACAACUACUGCACUUAGGUUGAUUUUUGAACUCGGGUUGUCGUACGGAUGGUAUUCCCAGGAGAUUUUCUGGGAAUAUAUCGAGAAGGUUAUGGGCUUUUUCAACAUCCAUGAUGUUUUUCUCUUCUUGUUUCUUAUCCACAGCACGGGCUAGGACGGCGUGGUACCUCCUGUGUAAGUACUUCUGAGUCUUGUUGUAAAAGGUGAGUCGGGGGAUUGUGUCCGGUUUGUCGCCAUAGACAACGAGGGUUCUAUUACUCGAUGGGUUUAGGCGAAUGGCCUUUUCGUAAUAUAUGAUAUCGGUAUGGUGAGGAAACUAACUAAUACGUUGUUAAAAUGAAAAUGUCGUAAAUUUUUAUUGUGACCGGUUUUAGGAUGAUUUGAAUGAAUUGGUUGAUUUAGUGUUAGAGUGCACCCUAUGUACACGUCUCUAGUGCUUUUGAUUAUUCCAAUUCUACUGUAAAUAUUUCGUUUAAGUUUUUGAGGUUUUUGGUUGAGAAAUUGAUUAAAUCUACGACUCACAAUACUCCUCUCCGCGUUGCUAUUAUAUAGUAUCCAUGCAUAUGUGCUAUCGGGAAUGAACGUACCGGAAUCUCAGCGGGGUCUAUUACUGCUUUCCCACGCUCUGUUGCUAAAACACUUCCGAUGCUCUUGACAUCUUUGUUUUUAGUCUCCGGGAACUCCUUUAUGAAAUGCCCUACUUCUCCACAUCUGUAGCAAGUCCGACUCAUCCCAGCUUUUGUGUUCUGGUUGGUCUGUUGAGCCGGCACCCUACAGAAAUUUGUGGUAUGCCCCUUUUUCAUUAUAGUUCUUGCAAUGCAUUUCCCUGCACUUUCCUUUGUGAUGAAAGCUACACUUGGUGCAUUUUGGCAGGUUUCCAACAUAUGGUCUUGUUGGCACUGAGGUAGUAGGGAUGGUGGUGGUAUGGAAUGUCACUGUUUGUUGUACAAGUUGAGGUAUCGUGGAUUGGUGAAUAAUAAAAUCCAACCACUGAAAGAGACUUGGAAAUGUCUCCGUAUCUAACUUGCUAUGGUCCAAUGACUUAACUAAAGCAGGUUUCAGAUAGACUCCAAUGAGAGUAUGAUAAGAGUACUUGAAUGAUGGAAAUGACACAAAAGUUAGCCGGCGGUCAAUAUCUUGGAUAUUUACGGCGUAAAGGUUCAGGAAAAUGGCCUUGUAAAGGUCUUACAUCAUAUACACAGGAGAUAGUUCCUGACAGUAUAAAGACCUAACUAAAGUACUUACGGUACAAGAUAAUUUCAUAGAAAAUGCCACAUCAGGCAUAGACAGAAGAAUACGAUUCCUCUUUUUGUAAGGGAAAUAAAGUAAAGCGUCUACUACUGGUGACGGUAAUUCCUCUGGUGAAUUCUUAGUUCAACCAAUUGACGUUCCAUGUCAAGUAGGUGUCUCUAUUACACCCUCUGGCGUACUUGGAGCUCUAUGACUUUGGCUCGGGUUUUCAGCUAGUGUUUGCAGCAGGUUCUCAUGGUUUCUUUCUGAUCUCUUGUGAGCAUCUUCUAGAUGAGUGGUGUGGAGGGUAUUCAUUCUUGCAUCGGUGACAACUUCGGCAAUCUGAUGUUGGGCUGUCCUGCCUUGAAUCUCAUUUUGGGCCACUCUGCGGACCAUGAUUGGCAAGAUUCUACCUGCUGAGCCCCCAUUGCUCAGGUCGUAAAAGUUUCGGUCGCCAAUAAAUGGCAUGGGCUGAUCUUGUUCUUGGCUUCAUGUUUCCAAGCAUUCCACCGAAUCAGGCGUCGGGCCAUGAAGAGCUGGACGAGGGUUAGGAAUUGGAAAGGGAGUUGCUCGAGGUAGGUUCUCAACCUCUAGUUCGGAAUUAGCAUCGGCUGAAAGGUUUUCAUCAUGAUGAUCAUCCAAAGGGAUAGGAUGAUCAUUCUCUGGUUCUUCUCCAAACCAACCAGCUAUGACUUCAUUCGGAAGAUACUGGUUGUCAAGGGGAUGGAGCCCAACUAUGAUUUCUAUGCGAGAAUUUAGGGUAAGUGGAUAAUUAUUAGACGAACUAUCUAGAUAAUUAUUUAGAAAACCCUCAUUAGUUACAUCACUAUUUGUGAAGUGCAUACCAGCUAUGUGUAAUCUAAACAGGAUAGACCUUCGAAUAAGUGACCUUAUUUCCAAAUUCACACAGAAUAGGGGUAAGGCAAAAUUAUCACUGAUUCUAAGUCUAUAACAUCCUAAUUACAUGUAGCCUUAGUGUAUCCACUUAGCAACUAUCAACUUAGUAAUGAGGAUCCCGUUUUAAUUCUCAAGUAUAAAGUACUUAUAGUAACACCAAAUACUCCUAUAGUAUUUUAAUUUUUAUGUUAUGUUCUAUUGUUCUCAUUGUGGUAGGGUUGGUAAGAUUUUAGCAUUGUUGCGACUACACACUUAAACUUAGGCACAUGCUAGUCAACCCUCGGAUAAUAUAGGCGAUCAGGCUAUAUCUUCCCAGUUUUGACCAUAUGUCUCUAAGCCCACUUGUGUUGCCCAACAAUCGUAAUUCUUUUGUACUGUCCUAGUGACACUGAUUUUAGUAUGAAUGCAGCACGUAUACUUACUUAAAUAUUUUAUUAUUUAAAGUAUAAACUCUAAAUCAGAGUAUUUUUAAUCCCAUUGUAUUUAUAGUUAGUAUAUCUUUUAUGGGUUGAUAUACUCAAUUCACUAUAAACAAUGCUCUGAUACCAAUCUGUCACACCCCAAAACCAAGAACGGCGGAAACGUUCUGGGGCGGAGGACGUCAUGUAUGCAUCACAACAAAUGUAAAGUAGUAAACAAGCAACAACAUCAUCCAUUGCAUUAAUAGUAUAAUUUUAGUUACAAGUGUUUUCUUUCAUUGUACAAGAUAUGAUAAUAACUUAUCAAAAUAAAAGACGAGUCUUGACUGCUCCGUCUUCUCUAAACCUUGUAUCGACACCUGUCUAUUUGUAACCUGAGAAUACAAGUUAUUUUGAAAGAGUAGAUCAGCAUUUAAGCUGGUGAGUUCAUAAGUAUUUAAUGUCAUUGCUUUGAUUAGUUGAUAUGAAAGACUGGUAAAUGAAUGAUGAAACAUUUAGUAUAAGUACGAAAAGCUCUAGAAAAUCCCAUAUUUCCUACUAGUAUAAAAGUAGUCUUCUACCAAGACUCGAAUGUUUUGAAAGUAGUCUUUUACCUAGACCUGACUGUUUUGAAAGUACGCAUCUCUUGAAAAUGUGAUGGUUUUUCCUUGUUUAACUCUUAUUAGUAGUCUCUUAAGUAUACCUGAAAUGGUAUCAACUUAGAACAUCCGUAGACUGUUCAUUUACCUCUGUUGCUAACAGCCGGGUUUAGGAAUAGUUAGUCCCUUCUGUAUACCCACGAUGGUAUCAACCUAGAACAUCCGUAGAUUGUUCAUUUACCUCUGUAGCUAGCAGUGGUUAUCGGAAUGGUUAGUCCCUCAAAGUAUGAUGUGGUACUAGGAGAUAAAGUCCCAGUCUACCUCGUCGAUGAUGUGAUUGAAUCACAAGGUAAAGAUAGAAAGGCGAACAAUAUAACCGUAUCUAGACAUAUAACAUGUAAUAUUAAAUUGCCAUAUGAUGUCUAUGUAAAAGUAUUCAUGUAUAAGUAUUCAUGUAAAAGUAUUCCUUCAUAUAACAUGUAGUAGUAAUUUGCCAUAUAAUGUUUAUGUAAAAGUAUUCAUGUAUAAGUAUUCAUGUAAAAGUAUUCCUUCAUAUAACAUGUAGUCUGGACUCAUGAAUGAACUGACUCUGGUGUAAUUUCUUGUAGUAGUGAAAAUGUUUUGUUUACUCUAAACUAUUCCUAUAAUAGUUUACUAGAAUGUAAUUGAUGAGUGUCCAAGUAGGUUUAUACACCUUUGCUACCCAGGAGUAUCGAAACUAAAUUAACUGGUGGAACAUUUAUGACCAUAUAUGUAUACAUGAUAUAUAACUAAUAUUUAAACGACCUUCGGAGGAGUACCCGAUAUCCCACCAGACCACAUCCAAAUCGAGGAAAAGGAAACAGGGUGGAUAGCCUUUCUAAGUCUUUUAAACAUUUCUUAUAUAACUAUACAUAUAGAGGCAUGCAAUUUAUAAUAUAAAAGCAUAAAGAAGUUUUGUAAACAAAACAUAUAUAUGUAUAUGGUUAUAUAUAUGUAUAAAUUUUAAAAGAUGAUUUGGUAUGUUUCGUAAUUGUUGUUCAUAUUCUUACGUUUUUAUUAGAAACUUUGCAUGAAAUAAUCCUUAAGUUUGAUACUAAAGACCUUUUUGUACUUAUCACUUUUGUAAAAAUGGUAAUUAAACAUAUUUAAAUGAUUGUGUUUUAACUUCCUUAAUGUAUAAACAUUGCUAAAAAAUGUUAGAAGGUGUUAAUAAAUGUAUAAACCACUUUUGACAGUUUUGCCCUUUACUGUCCCUGUUUUUAGAAAACUCAUAGAAAAAUCCUCGUAAGUCAAAAACUGAAUCCGUCACCUCUGAGAGUUUAUAAAAUGAGUCUACUUUGUUCCUAAUUUUUAUUAUGAUUUUUAGUGGUCUCAAACUAGUGUGAAAAUGAACAUCUUCACAGACUGGUCCGAAAUCACUUCUGAAAUGACAGGCAGUUUUAUAAAAAUCGCCAUAAAUUGUAGAAAAAUCGUAUGAACGCGUGCGAGUAGUCAUUAGAAAGGUAUAAACUUGAACUAUUUGCAUAUUGUACAGUUUUGAAAGAUAUUAAGUUUAAGAUGGUCAAAACAGUCCGUGAACAGGACUCAACUUUUCUGUAGAAAGCUGUCAUUUAAAUUUAAGUUAUGUUUAGUGUUCUAACUUGUAUUCCCCCCCUUAAAACUUGAAUAAAACAUGAAAAUGUAGGGGUAUGAACUCACCUUAUGUGAAUACUUGAAGAAUGGAAAGUUGAAGAUGAACUUUUGGUUGUUGGUUUGAUGCUCCAAAACAGCCACUCUUUUGGCUAUGUUGCUGUCACGAAAAUUUCACAGCAAAAGUGCAAGAAAAAGGGUAGUUUACUCACUGUUUUGAAUCAAUAAUUUUGAGUAUCAAAACAAGUAACUUCCAGGGGUAUUUGGUGGUAAAAAUAUCAAGCAAAAGGAAGGUGUAGAUGGGUGAAAUGGUGGCUGAAACACAAAAGGGACAGCAACCCUUUAGUUCAUGGUUUUGAUGGCUUUGGAAGGAAGUUCUUGUGCUUGAAAAUGAGAUGAAGGUUGAGAGUAAUUACUUGGAGUAUUGGCUGGUCAAAUGAGGGUAAAAUGAAGAGGAAAUUUCGUGGUUAUGAAGGAGGAAAGGGUGGAAGAGGAUAAGGGGACAAAACCUAGACUAGCUUGUGAUGGGAUGUGAGUUUAAGUGAUGUGAUCUUGUCUAGCCACUUGCUUGGGUGGUUGUUUAGAGAUAGAGUUAGUUAACUAACUAACUACUAGUUAUUUAGUUAGUUAGGAGUUCUAGUUAAGGAGAGGGAAGGUCUUAAUCUCGAAAAUUAGAAGAGGGAUUAAUAAGCAUUCUUAGUAAAAUGUCUUAAGUGAUUAAGCACUUAUUAGUUAAGUUGGCACUUAUCUCCACCAAUUCUCUUAUCUUAAUUGAUUUAGAAAUCAUAUUCCUUACAUGAAAUCACUUUAAUUCAUGACCCAUAACUAGUCAUUCACUAGAUAAUAAUACAUAUAUACAAAUACAUACAUGUAUACUUAGUAUAAAAUAACAAUGUAGUUUUUGUGUAUUUGAACUUUAAUAUUUAUGUUUUAUUCUUUUUAUUCAAAAACACUUAAAUACAUUUUAAUUAUACCUUAUAAUAAUUCAUUUUAUAUUUUAAUUUAUUUACAUAUAAAAUUUAUUGAGCAAUAUAUAAUUUCGUGACAUUUAACCGGUUAACCAUAUCGUUAAACACGUUUUGUCACUUUGGUUCGUAUAUUUGUCAAAUUUAGAUCCUUCACAUCUAUUAAGCAAAUGUUUUACAUAGAACCUAACUUACUUAUCAACUAGAGACAUGUUGAUACAAAAAUUAAGUUUGUUGCGUUUAAAUGAUGUUAUAUGCUAAUUUCACAAACCGGUGAUGGUUCGNNNNNNNNNNNNNNNNNNNNUAAUAUAUCAUUAGUUACUUGUUUUAUAUUUCACAAGAACUUAUUUAAAUAAAAGAGGUUAAAUUCUUUCAACCAUUCUUGAUAAAAUACUCAUAUUGUUUAAAAAUCAAAACAUAGCAUCGUAGGCCGUUCCUAUUUUUACCAAUUGUUACAAUGAGUGACUUAGUUGACCUCGUACGUCUUUAGCUAUCUUAAAUCAUAAGUAAUAACUUCUCGUCGGAGUGUUGCAUAGGUUCUGCUGCAGUGUUCCAUGAUUGCUUAGCUCGGUAGGAAGCAUGCGGGUUUGGUUGAUGCGACUAGACUUAUUUGGAUGGUAGGAUGUUCACUCGUCCUCCUGGGCAACCUUGAUCCGAUGUUCAUGGCAGGACUCGUACUUGGUCUAUCCAUCAUUAACUUGCGCAUAUAGGUCGUAUGUACUUAAGGGUGGAUUUAAUAUUGUUUCCAAAAGAGACUAAUUAAGUAUAUGGGGAUUGAUUAUGUAAAUCAAUGAUUCUUGUAGUGUGGGUCAAUGAUCCAUGAUUAUUUUGGUCGGCUAAUCCAAUGAGAUAAUCCAUGGAGGUUAAAUCCAUGGAGCAUGAGAAUGUGGAAAGCUAUGGGUCAUUAGGGUUUACAAAGUGUAACCCUAACAUGUGCAACACUAUAAGUAGAACCCCCCAUGGACGAAAAUCAGUUGCCACAUCUAUUGAGAUAAGUAAGUUAUUCUCGUAAAACCUCAUCUUGCAUAUUGGUGUUUGUGAACUAUUAGAGGUAUCACACUUGGGGUGCUCAAGCUUUCAAAGGUCAAGAAAUCUACCCUACUCAAGAGGUAAGCAUCGAAACUAACUUUUUAUUAUAUAGCUUCAAUUGUAUGCUAGCUAGGUUGAAUGCUUUGGAAAAACAAAAUGCAUGUAUAAUUAGAGAAAACAUAGAUCCAAAGCAUUUAGGGUUGCAUGUGCACCAUAGAGUGUUAUAGUGCUCAAAACCCAACAUUUCAUUCACACACUUUUAUGAUAUUUCAGGGACUUUUGGCGUAGGAUCUUACUUGAGGAGGUAAAUAAGAGAUGUGGACAAAAUUUCGGGACUUGAAGAGCACCGGGGAUGAAGAUAUCAAGGAAUUGAAGAUUUUGGCUUUUUAGAGACUUACGCGGUCAUGUGAAUGGAACAUUAACAUCCCAAAAUUCGAGGCCAAAAAUUUCACUUUUGAUUAGGUGAUUUUUAAAAGGGUUCAUCAAAACAUUGCCAAAAUCAUGUCAAUACAUAAAACCAUAAUUUUCAAAACCAAAUCAUCUGAAAUAACAAAAUAUCAGAGUACAAUCCCAGAAAACUCUAAGCGGAAAUCAUAAGUGUGUGUGUGUGAUGCACUGCUACACCGUCGGCACCUUCCCCUUGGAUGAAGAGGUACCUGAAACCAAAACUGAAACUAUAAGCACAAAGCAUAGUGAGUUCCCCCAUCAUACCACAUACCAUACAAUCACAUAGCAUACAUACUACCGGGCAAUUCUGGGGUGCCCGUCCUACCCAUGUCAAGCCAUUCUGGGGUGUUGACAUACCCAUGUAAAGCCAUUCUGGGGUGCUGACCUACCCAGUUCGAGCUAUUCUGGGGUGCUGACCUACCUUCCGAUCUAUCUCAACCAAAAACAGGGACUAUUUCACCCCUACUACUAACACAUAACAUCAUAUCAUAAUCAUGCUGUCAGACAUAUCUGGGGUGUCCAACCUACCCAUUGGUCCUAAAGACUGAAUCAGGGACUAGUCCCCUUCUACUGAUACUAUCUCAUUUAACAUGGCAAUUAACAAACUAGCAUACUCACAUAUCUAGCAGUCUAGCAUGCUCACAUAUGCAACAAUCAGACCAAACAGUUAUCAUAAAGAUAAGCAUCCCAACUAACAAUUACUAGUGGGCCGACCUUGGUGCCUUAGAUCCUCUCCUACCAGAAGGUAACUCACCUCGAUGUUGUGUAGUGUCUGAACUGUCCUCGGCGUGAAGGUCGGCUCUCCUCAACUCCUUAAUCCCUAUACUAAAACCCUCAAUUCAUCAAGCCGAACAUAUAACCCAAACCAGGGUCAAUACCAAAACCAGACAAAGUCAACAUUGGUCGAAGUCAACACCUAGUUGACCUGACUCACCGAGUUAGUCUACCAACUCGUCGAGUCCAUACUCCACUAACUCGAUCCAACCCCAACACCACUCGUUGAGUCUAGCAAGAACUCGUCGAGUUCUCCUUCAUUCAAANCAUCUGACUCGCCAAGCUCUUCCUUGAACUCGGCGAGUUCAUCUACCUCAUAAGAACGUGUCCAGUCUACUACUCGCUGACUUGUAUGCAAAACUCGUCGAUUCCAUCUUCAAAGAUUGGGAGAUUGGCUUGGACUCGCCGAGUCUGUUAAUACACUUAUCGAGUGCCAUGAUUCCUAGGUCCAUUUUUGCAUCUAAACAUCUACAAGACUUUCCUCCCUAACAACUGGUCCAUCCAUAGAAAGGAUUUGGUGGUCAUUACACUGCGACUCGCCAAGUCCCAAGAACAACUCGGCGUGUCCAUCCUUGACCAACACUAUACAGUCGAUUUAGAUGAGCCUUAACACCUCAAAACCAUAGAUCUGGCACCCUAAUGUCCAUUUCAUACGUAAAGCUCCAAACUUGAUGCACAUUCAAUGGGGCUUUGGCUCAAAAAUCCAUAAAAGGUGCUCUACAAGAUGCAUGGGGCUCUCAUGACCAUAAAGUUGGCACCUUUAUGCCAUGAGACCCUUCCAAUGACUCAGAUAUGAAGUCAAGACCCCAAAUAACACUCCAUAAAUUCGACUAUGGCUUGGAAAGCCCUAAAUGUGACCAAAACCCAAGUCUAAAGAUGAAUAAACGCAUAGAAGACCAAAACAGGGGCAUUUUACCUUGCUUGUGCUGAAAAUGGAACUAGAUAUUUGAAUCUCUAAGCCCCAACUAGAACUCUCGAGCUUCUUUCUUCAUCUUCAAGCUUCACAAACCACCACAUGCACCAAAAGGCCUUAGCACAAUAAAAAAUGGCUUGGGUUACGAUACACAGCUUUCUGGGAGUGAUAAGGGCAAUGGAGGCUGAGAUACGGUGUUUAAAUAGGGUGCAAACCCUCAGAUUUAGGGUUUCACUCAACCAACACCUACUCGCCAAGUCAGUCCCCCGACUCGUCGAGUAGGUUACUUAAACUGUUCGUGGGUCACCACUCUACUCGACGAGUGGGGCCUCCAACUCAUUGAGUCCCAGAGAAAAACACAAAAUACUUGAAUAAUAGGCAUAUUAGGAAUCAGGUGUUACAAAUCUCCCCCACUUAUCUUAGACUUCGUCCUUGAAGUUUGCUACUCGAUUCUGAAAAAGCUCGGGGUAAUGCUCCCUUAUCUCGUCCUCCGGCUCCAAGGUCGAUUCUGAGCCCUUGAGGUGCUGCUAUUGCACCUUUACCAGCUCCACCCUCUUGUUUCUCAGAUCCCUUGACUUCCUAUCAAGGAUUGCCAAUGGACUCUCGAUGUAGUUCAAGUUGUCAUCAACCUGAAUAUCCUCUAGAGGCACCACUGCUGAAUUGUCCACCAGACAUUUCCGCAACUGGGAGACAUGAAAAGUGCUAUGAAUACGACCGAUUUCAGCUGGCACAUCCAGCCUAUAUGCUAACUUUCCCACUCGGGUCGUAACCCUAAAGGGUCCAAUAUACUUGGGGCCCAACUUGCCCCACUUCUUGAACCGAAUGACGCCCUUCCAUGGCGAAUGUCACACCCCCAAACCAAGGAUGGCGGAAACGUCCUGGGGUGGAGGACUUCAUGUACUAUCACAACAAUGAGAAUAAUAGUGCUCAAAGUAAAUACAACCAUCAUAAAUAUAACUGAAAAAGUUACACCGAUGUAUAUGUUUACAUGUUUCAAAUCAAUUACAUUAUGAUGACCAAUGAACUAUUUGACGAUUCGACGUCCCAUCCUCAAAAUGCUGUUGGUUUUCCUGUUUCACUGAUUUCCUGAGAAUACAAGUUGUUUGAAAAAGUGUCAGCACAAAGGUUGGUGAGUUCAUAAGAUAUUUCGUUAGAGAAGUAAACCGUUUUCCUUGUAAAAGCGAUAAAGUAUGUAUCCAGAAAAUCUGAUAUUUUCUUUAUAAAAGUUAUGUGGUCCUAAAUCCCAGGACUGAGAAAUAACAAGUAUUUGCCAUACUUAAUGAUAUAAAAGUGGUUUUAAAUCGGCAUAAAACCCUUUUUGAUUUGAAGGAAAGUCCCGUAACAAAUGAUGUGAAGUCUUAAGUACCGAGACAAAAAGUGUACAGUAAUAUCCAUACUUAUUGAUAUAAAAAGUGAUUUUAAAUCGACAUAAAACCCCUUUGAUUUAUAGAAAGUCCCGUAAACUUUAUGUGUGGUUAGCUCCCUAUGUGAGUCGCUAUAACCAUACUAUGACUGGAGGUAACCUGCACAACGUCUUUCAAACGCCCUGAUCCUAUGACUCUUGUCACCCGCAGACCUGCCGGUCUGGCUGUAGCUAGCAGGGAAGUGUGGGAUGCCAACCCCAAUAUAGAUCUAUACACAAUUAUCACGCUUUCCCUAGAAGAGAUUUUGGUUAUAACUUACAGGAAUUUAGAUCCCGUACUCGGACGUACGAGGAGAGAAUGUCUCACAACCUGAGUUAACAAGUUUACGUGUAGUGUGAGUGAGUGUAGAACCUUUUUGUACAAAUGUACCCUUUUUGUAUGAGUAUGUUAUGUGAUGUAUCAUAAACUAUACCUAUUAUAGUUUAUUAAAACAAGGGUGAAAGUGGUAAUAUACCUAAACUAUACAUAACUUAGUUUAUUCAAAUGUUUGUAUGUAAUAGAUGUACUUUGAUUAUAACAAAUUGUUAUUUCUAUGCUUUGUCUAGAAAAGUCCAUUUGUUAACUGAUGUAUGUCUACAUAAUAAGGCAAUAUUGCCAUAUAUUGCGAUAACAUAUAAUCACAUAAAGAUAUACACCUUGCUCAACAUGCUACAAGGUGAAAUGAAAUUGAUAGCAUUUUUCUGUUGUAAACAUUUUGAUUUGAUGUUCUUAGAAAACUUAUAGAAAAAUCAUCAUAGGUUUAAAACAUAAUCCAAAAAUUGUGAGAGUUUAGAAAAUGAGUCUAGUUUCUCCAUAAUUUUUAUCAUGAUUUUUAAUGACCUCUAACUUGUGUGAACAAGUCCAUAAUCACAGACUGGUCCGGAUUGAUGUUUUGAAAUGAUAGGUUGUUUUGUAAAAAUCACCAUAAAUUGUAGAAAAAUCGUAUGGAGAUGUGAAAGUAGUCAUUUUAAAGGUAAGAACGUGAAAAAUUUUCACCUAAUACAGUUUUGAAAACAGAAAUGUUUAAGUUGUCCAAAAGAGUCUGUGAUAGAAGUCCAGCUUUUCUGAUGAAGGUUGUUAGAAAAGUUUAGUUAUGUUCUUGGUGUUUUAACCUGUAUUCCCCCCCCCCUAAAAUCUUGAGAAAACAUGAAAAUGUAGGGGCAUGAACUCACCUUAUGUGAUUUCAGUAGAUUAAUGUUGGAGAAAGGAAGUGUUUAACUCAAGAACACUUGAAGAUUUUCGAGAAUCUAUGAUCAAAGUGAUGGAGUUUGUGUAAGCAAUCGAUGAUUUGAGUAGAAUGAAGUGUAAUAAUCACAAGGAGGAUGAAUUAUAGUUACAAGAGUAUUAUAAAGCUUGAUGAUCAGCCUUGGAGUCUCGAAAUCAAGAGAAAAAUUUGAGAGAAAAGUGUUUGAUCUUUUGGGGGAAAAUGAGAGAAUGAAUGAAGUGUGAGGAGAGAGGAUGGAUGUUCCAUCUAUAAGAACGUGGGAAAUGGCUGGAAAUUAUAAUAAAUUACUUUGACAUGAGCUAGGUAUGGUGUAAGGAGUGUGGCUGGUCAUGGAGUGGGUAUGGGUGGUUGCUUUUGUCAUAAACUAAAGAAAAGUCAACACUCCACCUCUUGUACUUCACCCACUCUUCUUGGAUAAGAUUUAUCUCCAAAAAGGUGAUUAAUUAAUAAAUAUGGAGCUUUAUAUGCAAAAAUAAAGUUUUGGGUGAAAAUCCCACGUUAAAACAUUUAAAAACGGGCCUAAAACGCAAAACUAGUCGAAAACCGGGUGAAAAAGAGCUUCCUGCGAGGCCUCUCGGUCCUAGGCCGAGGUUCUGUCCGAAGGGACCUUCGGUUCUUGAGAGGGUUCGGUCUGAGAAGGUGCAUUUCGCUUCUGAUGUCAUCGCUUUUGAUGCCUCCGCUUCUGACAUGUUCUUCUUCUGACAAGUUCGCUUCUGAUUGCUUCGCUUCUGACAAGUUUGCUUCNGACAAGUUAGGUUCCUAAGAGGGGUUUCGGGUCCUUAAGAGGGUUCGGCUCCUUAAGAAGGGUUUCGGGUCCUUAAGUCUAUUUUAUCCGUUUUUACCCCGUUUUAAGCGGUUUUUGACCUGGUUAUUGGUCGGGAUGGACCAAAAGACUACAAAAAGUUUAAGGAACUUUUUUAAGAGAUUUGGGAGAGAUUUCACAUUCUUGGAGAGAUUUGGGAGAGAUUUGACAUACUUGGAGAGAUUUUUCAUACAAAGAGAGAUUUGGGAGAGAUUUCACAUACAAAGAGACAUUUGGGAGAGAUUUCACAUUCUUGGAGAGAUUUCUCAUACAAACAGAGAUUUGGGAGAGAUUUGACAUUCUUGGAGAGAUUUCUCAUACAAAGAGAGAUUUGGAAGAGAUUUGACAUUCUUGGAGAGAUUUCUCAUACAAAGAGAGAUUUGGGAGAGAUUUGACAUUCUUGGAGAGAUUUAGGAGAGAUUUGAGAUACUUGGAGUGAUUUCUCAUACUUAGAGAGAUUUGGGAGAGAUUUCUCAUACUUAGAGAGAUUUGGGAGAGAUUCUAGAUAAAGAGAGAUAGAGUGAAAACGAUUGAGAGAGGUUUCAUGUGUGACAUUUGUGAGUGUUUGGCUCCGCAACGCAAGGUCCGUAAGCCUCGUUAAGCCAUGUUCAAGGACCUUACACACUCCCGAUGCGUAUUCAAUAUUGUUUUAUCGGUUUGGUUCAUACUUAUCGCAUUUUUAGAUUAAUGAAUUCUAGAUAUACGAACUUUUCAAUUGAUGAUUUCUCAUUAGCAUAACGAGUUGUAUAGAAAUAACACAGAGUAUACCCUAGUACACAAGGGUUAAUUAUGUCGAUCGGUUUGACUUGUUUACUUUAGUUGACUUUGACUUGACUGGAAUUUGACGGUUGUCACAUCAUCCCCCCGUUAGAGGGAAUUUCAUCUCGAAAUAGCACUUUGACCGGGACUUCAUGAAUUUGGAGAAUAGAUGGGGAAAGCUUUUCCUAGUACAAGAAAUUGGUAUGGCGGGGACCAAUCCGCCCGGUGUUAAAUGACGCCUUGGAAUUUCUUAUUGUAACUUGAGCUAAGUCAAAUUAAAGGAGUUAUUGUUUUGAAAAGAUAGUGUAUUCUAUGUGUGCCUUUAUGCUCCCCGCUACAAAGUGGAGACUCUCGUUCAUUUCGAUGUCGCCAAGUGGUAAGUGAGCUAUUAACAUGUCGCCCAUGUUUUGAACAAUCCCUUUUUGUUCUGCCUGUUUGUUUGCUGUUUGUAGGCCAUGCUCAAGUCUAACCUAGUUCCCUGCAAGGAUCGCUAGGGUCGCAUAAUCUCUUUGAUGUAUGUUCUAUUCGAUUCCUAUAUCCUGUCGGUUUCUUUGAUUAGUAGGGAGUGUGAGGAUUUGGCUAGUCUGUCAACGGUUAUCCAAAUGGUAUCGUGACCAUCCAUUUCCUUUGGUUAGCUUGGCUAUGAAGCCCAUGGUUAGCCGCUCCCAUUUCCUUUCAGGUGUCACUGGUUGUCGUAGGAGACGUGAAGGCUUCCUUUUUUCUCUCUUGACAUUGGCACAAGUCUGAUACUUGCCCACAUGUGUAGCAAUAUCUGCUUUCCUAUUUUCCCACUGAUGGCACUUUUUGAGGUCCGGACACAUCUUUUCCGAGCCUGGAUGAAGGGGAGUAGCGAGUUUUUCGUGUGCUUCGUUUGUGAUAUUAUCUAUGAAUCCAUCAACCUUGGUGUCCAGAUCCGGUUCAUGAUAUAACAUGCUCCGCUGUCUGUGCCUUCUAGGUUCUUAUGAUUGGUGAAGAUUGUAUGCUUCAUGUCGUGGAGAUGGUGCCUCCAGACCUCUAGGGAGUACACCACCACUCAUAGUUCAAGGUCAUGAGUGACUUAGUCGACCUCGUACGUCUUUAGCUAUCUUAAAUCAUAUGUAAUAACUUCUCCCCAGAGUGUUGCACAGGUUCUGCUGCAGUGUUCCAUGAUUGCUUAGCUCGGUAGGAAGCAUGUGGGUUUGUUUUAUGCGACUAGACUUAUUCGGAUGGUAGGAUGUUCACUCGUCCUCCUGGGCAACCUUGAUCCGAUGUUCAUGGCAGGACUCGUACUUGGUUUAUCCAUCAUUAACUUGCACAUAUAGGUCGUAUAUACUUAAGGGUGGCUUUAAUUUUGUUGUCAAAAAAGAGACUAAUUAAGUAUAUGGGGAUUGAUUAUGUAAAGCAAUGAUUCUUGUAGUGUGGGUCAAUGAUCCAUGAUUAUUUCGGUGGGCUAAUCCAAUGAGAUAAUCCAUGGAUAGUCCAUGGAGGUUAAAUCCAUAGAUAUUCCAUGGAGGUUGAAUCCAUGGAGCAUGAGAAUGUGGAAAGCUAUGGGUCAUUAGGGUUUACAAAGUGUAACCCUAACAUGUGCAACACUAUAAAUAGAACCCCCCAUGGACGAAAAUCAGUUGCCACAUCUAUUGAGAUAAGUAACUUAUUCUCGUAAAACCUCAUCUUGCAUAUUGCUGUUUGUGAACUAACAGAGGUAUCACACUUGGGGUGCUCAAGCUUUCAAAGGUCAAGAAAUCUACCCUACUCAAGAGGUAAGCAUUGAAGCUAACUUUUUAUUAUAUAGCUUCAAUUGUCUGCUAGCUAGGUUGAAUGCUUUGGAAAAACAAAAUGCAUGUAUAAUUAGAGAAAACAUAGAUCCAAAGCAUUUACGGUUGCAUGUGCACCAUAGAGUGUUAUAGUGCUCAAAACCCAACAUUUCAUUCACACACUUUUAUGAUAUUUCAGGGACUUUUGGGGUAGGAUCUUACUUGAGGAGGUAAAUAAGAGAUGUGGACAAAAUUUCGGGACUUGCAGAGCACCGGGGAUGAAGAUAUCAAGGAAUUGAAGAUUUUGGCUUUUUAGAGAAUUACGCGGUCGUGUGAAUGGAACUGUAACAUUCCAAAAUUCGAGGCCAAAAAUUUCACUUUUGAUUAGGUGAUUUUUAAAAGGGUUCAUGAAAACAUUGCCAAAAUCAUGUCAAUUUAUAAAACCAUAAUUUUCAAAACCAAAUCAUCUGAAAUAACAAAAUAUCAGAGUACAAUCCCAGAAAACACUAAGCGGAAAUCAUAAGUGUGUGUGUGUGUUUGAUGCACUGCUAUACAGUCGGAACCUUCCCCUUGGAUGAAGUGGUACCCAAAACCAAAACUGAAACUAUAAGCACAAAGCAUAGUGAGUUCCCCCAUCAUAGCACAUACCAUACAAUCACAUAGCAUACAUACUACCGGCUAAUUCUGGGGUGCCCGUCCUACCCAUGUCAAGCCAUUCUAGGGUCUUGACAUACCCAUGUCAAGCCAUUCCGGGGUGCUGACCUACCCAGUUCGAGCUAUUCUGGGGUGCUGACCUACCUUCCGAUCUAUCUCAACCAAACACGGGGACUAUUUCACCCCUACUACUAACACAUAACAUCAUAUCAUAAUCAUGCUGUCAGACAUAUCUGGGGUGUCCAACCUACCCAUUGGUCCUAAAGACUGAAUCAGGGACUAGUCCCCUUCUACUGACACUAUCUCAUAUAACAUGGCAAUUAGCAAACUAGCAUACUCACAUAUCUAGCAGUCUAGCAUGCUCACAUAUCCAACAAUCAGACCGAACAGUUAUCAUAAAGAUAAGCAUCCCAACUAACAAUUACUAGUGGGCCGACCUUGGUGCCUUAGAUCCUCUCCUACUGGAAGGUAACUCGCCUCGAUGUUGUGUAGUGUCUGAACUGUCCUCGAUGUGAAGGUCGGCUCUCCUCAACUCCUCAAUCCCUAUACUAAAACCCUCAAUUCAUCAAGCCGAACAUAUAACCCUAACCAGGGUCAAUACCAAAACCAAACAGAGUCAACAUUGGUCGAAGUCAACACCUAGUUGACCUGACUCACCGAGUUAGUCUACCAACUCGUCGAGUCCAUACUCCACUAACUCGAUCCAACCCCAACACCACUCGUUGAGUCUAGCAAGAAUUGUCGAGUUCUCCUUCAUUCAAACCAUCAGGACCAUCUUCAUCUGACUCGCCGAGCUCAUCCUAGAACUCGGCGAGUUCAUCUACCUCAUAAGAACAUGUCCAGUCUACUACUCGCCGACUUGUAUGCAAAACUCGUCGAGUCCAUCUUCAAAGAUUGGGAGAUUGGCUUGGACUCGCCGAGUCUGUUCAUACACUCAUCGAGUGCCAUGAUUCCUAUGUCCAUUUUUGUAUCUAAACAUCUACAAAGACUUUCCUCCCUAACAACUGGUCCAUCCAUAGAAAGGAUUUGGCGGUCAUUACACCGCGACUCGCCGAGUCCCAAGAACAACUCGGCGAGUCCAUCCUUGACCAACACUAUACAGUCGAUCUGGAUGAGCCUUAACAUCUCAAACCCAUAGAUCUAGCACCCUAAUGUCCAUUUCAUACGUAAAGCUCCAAACUUGAUGCACAUUCAUUGGGGCUUUGGCUCAAAAAUCCAUAAAAGGUGCUCUACAAGAUGCAUGGGGCUUUGAUGGCCAUAAAGUUGGCACCUUUAUGCCAUGAGACCCUUCCAAUGACUCAGAUAUGAAGUCAAGACCCCAAAUAACACUCCAUAAAUCCGACCAUGGCUUGGAAAGCCCUAAAUGUGACCAAAACCCAAGUCUAAAGAUGAAUAAACACAUAGAAGACCAAAACAGGGGCAUUUUACCUUGCUUGUGCUGAAAAUGGAACUAGAUAUUUGAAUCUCUAAGCCCCAAGUCGAACUCUCAAGCUUCUUUCUUCAUCUUUAAGCUUCACAAACCACCACAUGCACCAAAAUGGCCUUAGCACACUAAAAAACGGCUUGGGUUACAAUACACAACUUUCUGGGAGUGAUAAGGGCAAUGGAGGCUGAGAUAAGGUGUUUAAAUAGGGUGCAAACCCUCAGAUUUAGGGUUUCACUCAACCAACACCUACUCGCCAAAUCAGUCCCCCGACUCGUCGAGUAGGUUACUUAAACUGUUCGUGGGUCACGACUCUACUCGACGAGUGGGGCCUUCAACUCAUUGAGUCCCAGAGAAAAAAACAAAAUACUUGAAUAAUAGGCAUAUUAGGAAUCAGGUGUUACAAAUCUCCCCCACUUAUCUUAGACUUCGUCCUCGAAGUUUGCUACUCGAUCCUGAAAAAGUUCGGGGUAAUGCUCCCUUAUCUUGUCCUCCGGCUCCCAGGUCCAUUCAGAGGCCUUGAGGUGCUGCUAUUGCACCUUUACCAGCUCCACCCUCUUGUUUCUCAGAUCCCUUGACUUCUUGUCAAGGAUUGCCAUUGGACUCUCGAUGUAGUUCAAGUUGUCAUCAACCUGAAUAUCCUCUAGAGGCACUACUGCUGAAUUGUCCACCAGACAUUUCCGCAACUGGGAGACAUGAAAAGUGCUAUGAAUACGACUGAGUUCGACUGGCAGAUCCAGCCUAUAUGCUACCUUUCCCACUCGGGCCGUAACCCUAAAUGGUCCAGUAUACUUGGGGCCCAACUUGCCCUGCUUCUUGAACCGAAUGACACCCUUCCAUGGCGACUGUCACACCCCCAAACCAAGGAUGCCGGAAAUGGCUGGGGGUGGAGGACUUCAUGUAGUAUCACAACAACGAGUAUAAUAGUGCUCAAAGUAAUUACAACCAUCAUAAAUAUAAUUUAAAAAGUUACACCAAUGUAUAUGUGUACGAGUAUAAUAGUGCUCAAAGUAAUUCAACAUCCCAUCCUCAAAAUGCUGUUGGUUUUCCUGUUUCACUGAUUUCCUGAGAAUACAAGUUGUUUGUAAAGUGUCAACACAAAGGUUGGUGAGUUCAUAAGAGAUUUCGUUAGAGAAGUAAACCGUUUUCCUUGUAAAAGCGAUAGAGUAUUUAUCCAGAAAAUCCAAUAUUUUCUUUAUAAAAGUUAUGUGGUCCUAAAUCCCAGGACCAAGAAAUAACAAGUAUUUGCCAUACUUAAUGAUAUAAAAGUGGUUUUAAAUCGGCAUAAAACCCUUUUUGAUUUGAAGGAAAGUCCCGUAACAAAUGAUGUGAAGUCUUAAAUACCAAGACCGAAAGUGUACAGCAAUAUCCAUACUUAUUGAUAUAAACAAUGAUUUUAAAUCGACAUAAAACCCCAUUUGAUUUAUAAAGAGUCCCAGAAACUUUAUGUGUUGUUAGCUCCCUAUGUGAGUCGCUAUAACCAUAUUAUGACUAGAGGUAACCCGCACAACGUCUUUCAGACGCCCUGAUCCUAUGACUCUUGUCACCCGCAGACCUGCCGGUCCGGCUGUAGCUAGCAGCGAGGUGUGGGAUGUCAACCCUAAUAUAGAUCUAUACACAAUUAUCACGCUUUCCCUACACGAGAUUUUGGUUAUAACUUUCAGGAAUUUGGAUCCCGUACUUGGACGUACGGGGAGAGAAUGUCUUACAACCUGAGUUAACAAGUUUACGUGUAGUGUGCGUGAGUGUAGAACCUUUUUGUACAAAUGUACCCUUUUUGUAUGAGUAUGUUAUGUGAUGUAUCAUAAACUAUACCUAUUAUAGUUUAUUAAAACAAGGGUGAAAGUGGUAAUAUACCUAAACUAUACAUAACUUAGUUUAUUCAAAUGUUUGUAUGUAAUAGAUGUACUUUGAUUAUAACAAAUUGUUAUUUCUAUGCUUUGUCUAGAAAAGUCCAUUUGUUAACUGAUGUAUGUCUACAUAAUAAGGCAAUAUUGCCAUAUAUUGCGAUAACAUAUAAUCACAUAAAGAUAUACACCUUGCUCAACAUGCUACAAGGUGAAAUGAAAUUGAUUGCAUUUUUCUGUUGUUAACAUUUUGAUUUGAUGUUCUUAGAAAACUUAUAGAAAAAUCACCAUAGGUUUAAAACAGAAUCCAAAAAUUGUGAGAGUUUAGAAAAUGAGUCUAGUUUCUCCAUAAUUUUUAUCAUGAUUUUUAAUGACCUCUAACUUGUGUGAACAAGUCCAUAAUCACAGACUGGUCCGGAUUGAUGUUUUGAAAUGAUAGGUUGUUUUGUAAAAAUCACCAUAAAUUGUAGAAAAAUCGUAUGGAGAUGUGAAUGUAGUCAUUUUAAAGGUAAGAACGUGAAAUAUUUUCACAUAAUACAGUUUUGAAAACAAAAAUGUUUAGGUUGUCCAAAAGAGUCUGUGAUAGGAGUCCAGCUUUUCUGAUGAAGGUUGUUAGAAAAGUUUAGUUAUGUUCUUGGUGUUUUAACCUGUAUUCCCCCCCCCCUAAAAUCUUGAGAAAACAUGAAAAUGUAGGGGCAUGAACUCACCUUAUGUGAUUUCAGUAGAUUAAUGUUGGAGAAAGGAAGUGUUUAACUCAAGAACACUUGAAGAUGCCUUCAAGAUUUUCGAGAAUCUAAGAUCAAAGUGAUGGAGUUUGUGUAAGCAAUCGAUGAUUUGAGUAGAAUGAAGUGUAAUAAUCACAAGGAGGAUGAAUUAUACUUACAAGAGUAUUAUAAAGCUUGAUGAUUAGCCUUGGAGUCUCGAAAUCAAGAGAAAAAUUUGAGAGAAAAGUGUUUGAUCUUUUGGGGGAAAAUGAGAGAAUGAAUGAAGUGUGAGGAGAGAGGAUGGAUGUUCCAUCUAUAAGAACGUGGGAAAUGGCUGGAAAUUAUAAUAAAUUACUUUGACAUGAGCUAGGUAUGGUGUAAGGAGUGUGGCUGGUCAUGGAGUGGGUGUGGGUCGUUGCUUGUGUCAUAAACUAAAGAAAAGUCAACACUCCACCUCUUGUACUUCACCCACUCUUCUUGGAUAAGAUUUAUCUCCAAAAAGGUGAUUAAUUAAUAAAUAUGGAGCUUUAUAUGCUAAAAUAAAGUUUUGGGUGAAAAUCCCACGUUAAAACAUUUAAAAACGGGCCUAAAACGCAAAACUAGUCGAAAACCGGGUGAAAAAGAGCUUCCUGCAAGGCCUCUCGGUCCGAGGCCGAGGUUCUGUCCGAAGGGCCCUUCGGUUCUUGAGAGGGUUCGGUCUGAGAAGGUGCAUUUCGCUUCUGAUGUCAUCGCUUUUGAUGCCUCCGCUUCUGACAUGUUCUUCUUCUGACAAGUUCGCUUCUGAUUGCUUCGCUUCUGACAAGUUUGCUUCUGAUGCCUUCGCUUCUGAUGUGUUCGCUUCUGAUGCCUUCGCUUCUGAUAAGUUCGGUUCCAAAGAGGGGUUUCGGGUCCUUAAGAGGGUUCGGCUCCUUAAGAGGGGUUUCGGGUCCUUAAGUCUAUUUUAUCCGUUUUUACCCCGUUUUAAGUGGUUUUUGACCUGGUUAAGGGUCGGGAUGGCCCGAAAGAUUACAAAAAGUUUAAGGAACUUUUGAGAGAGAUUUGGGAGAGAUUUCACAUUCUUGGAGAGAUUUGGGAGAGAUUUGACAUACUUGGAGAGAUUUCUCACACAAAGAGAGAUUUAGGAGAGAUUUCACAUACAAAGAGAGAUUUGGGAGAGAUUUCACAUUCUUGGAGAGAUUUCUCAUACGAAGAGAGAUUUGGGAGAGAUUUGACAUUCUUGGAAAGAUUUCUCAUACAAAGAGAGAUUUGGGAGAGAUUUGACAUUCUUGGAGAGAUUUCUCAUACAAAGAGAGAUUUGGGAGAGAUUUGAAAUUCUUGGAGAGAUUUACGAGAGAUUUGACAUACUUGGAGAGAUUUCUCAUACUUAGAGAGAUUUGGGAGAGAUUUCUCAUACGUAGAGAGAUUUGGGAGAGAUUUUAGAUAAAGAGAGAUAGAGUGAAAACGAUUGAGAGUGGUUUCGUGUGUGACAUUUGUGAGUGUUUGGCUCCACAACGCAAGAUCCAUAAGCCCUGUUAAGCCAUGUUCAAGGACCUUACACACUCCCGAUGAGUAUGCAAUAUUGUUUUAUCGGUUUGGUUCAUAGUUAACGCAUUUUUGGAUUAAUAAAAUCUAGAUAUACGAACUUUUCAAUUGAUGAUUUCUCAUUAGCAUAACGAGUUGUAUAGAAAUAACACAGUGUAUACCCUAGUACACAAGGCUUAAUUAAAUCGACCAGUUUGACUUGUUGACUUUUGUUGACUUUGACUUGACUGGAAUUUGACGGUUGUCACAUCAUCCCCCCGUUAGAGGGAAUUUCAUCUUGAAAUUAGCACUUUGACCGGGACUUCAUGAAUUUGGAGAAAAGAUGGGGAAAGGUUUUCGUAGUACAAGAAAUUGGUAUGGCGGGGGGCAAACCGCCUGAUNAACGCCUUGGAAUUUCUUAUUGUAACUUGAACUAAGUCAAAUUAAAGGAGUUAUUGUUUUGAAAAGAUAGUGUAUUCUAUGUGUGCCUUUAUGCUCCCCGCUACAAAGUGGAGACUCUCGUUCAUUUCGAUCUCGCCAAGUGGUAAGUGAGCAUUCCCUCUCUUUACUGAAGUUAAUCACCCAAGCUAAUAACAUGUCGCCCACGUUUUGAACAAUCCCUUUUUGUGAUGCCCGUUGGUUUGCUGUUUAUAGGCCAUGCUCAAGUCUAACCUAGUUCCCUGCAAGGAUCGCCAGGGUCGCAUAAUCCCUUUUUCUGAUCCCGUUGGUUUGCUGUUUAAGGAACUUUUGAGAGAGAUUUGGGAGAGAUUUCACAUUCUUGGAGAGAUUUGGGAGAGAUUUGACAUACUUGGAGAGAUUUCUCAUACAAAGAGAGAUUUGGGAGAGAUUUUACAUACAAAGAGAGAUUUGGGUGAGAUUUCGCAUUCUUGGAGAGAUUUCUCAUACAAAGAGAGAUUUGGGAGAGAUUUGACAUUCUUGGAGAGAUUUGGGAGAGAUUUGACAUACCUGGAGAGAUUUCUCAUACUUAGAGAGAUUUGGGAGAGAUUCUAGAUAAAGAGAGAUAGAGUGAAAACGAUUGAGAGAGGUUUCGUGUGUGACAUUUGUCAGUGUUUGGCUCCGCAACGCAAGGUCUGUAAGCCCCGUUAAGCCAUGUUCAAGUACCUUACACACUCCCGCUGAGUAUGCAAUAUUGUUUUAUCCGUUUGUUUCAUACUUAACGCAGUUUUAGAUUAAUGAAAUCUAGAUAUAUGAACUUUUCAAUUGAUUAUUUCUCAUUAGCAUAACGAGUUAUAUAGAAAAAACACAGCGUAAACCCUAGUACACAAGGGUUAAUUAAGUCGAUCGGUUUGACUUGUUGACUUUAAUUGACUUUGAGUUGACUGGAAUUUGACGGUUGUCACAGCGACACCUUCAGGAGCAUCAUAUCCCCUACCUGAAACUCCAGGUCUGACCGCCGCUUGUCGGUAUAACUUUUCUAUCGACUCUGUACAGUCUGAAGCCUGCUCCAAACCUGUUGGAUCUUCUCCGUAGUCUUGAGUACCACUUCGGUCCUCCCCAUGACUUUUUUUUCCCAACGUCUCCUCAGCAUAAUGGGGUCCCACACUUCCUCCCAUACAACAACUUGAAGGGAGGACGGUCGAUACUCACAUGAUUGCUAUUGUUAUAGGAGAACCCAGCCAACGGAAGGUAAGUAUCCCAACUACCUCCGAAGUCUAAAACACACGCCCACAACAUAUCCUCUAGAGUCUGGAUGGUCCACUCGCUCUGACCAUCAGUGCUAAAAUGCAGUCAAGUACCCAGCUCGUCAUGAAACUUCUUCUGAAACCUAGAAGUAAACCGCACGUCCCUGUCUGAAAUCGCCGAAACUGGCAACCUGUGCAACGCCACUACCUCCUGGAUGUAGAUGUCGGCUAACUUUUCGGUUGAAAUACUCUCCUGAAUCGGAAUAAAAUGGGCGCUCUUGGUCAAUCGAUCAACGAUGACCCAAAUCGAAUCCACCCCUCGUGCGGUCAUGGGAAGCUCCGUAAUAAAGUCCAUAGAAAUAUCCUCCCACUUCCACAGCGGGAUAUCUAAUGGCUGGACCUUUCUGUGAGGUCUCUGGUGCUCAGCCUUGACCUUCCUGCAGGUCAGGAACCUUUCCACAAACCAAGCUAUGUCCCUCUUCACACAUGGCUACCAAUAAUCGAGACGAAGAUCCCUGUACAUCUUUGUCGCUCCGGGAUGGAUAUAGAACCUGGAUUUGUGUGCCUCUGCCAUCAAUACCUGACACACACCCCCAUGAUAAGGGACCCACACCCUAUUGUGAAGAGUCAACAAUCCCCGGCUAUCAUCGUCGAAGAAGGAAACCUGACCCACAAUUCGCUCACUCUUUUGAUGUUCCUCCUUCAUGGCCUCCUGCUAGGCCUCAUGAAUCUGCUCCAACAGCGGAGUCAUAACUGACAUUCUCAAACAGAUGUCCCUGAUCUGUGAUGCCAUGUGGCUAAGCGCAUCAGCCACGACAUUAGCCUUCCCCGGGUGAUAGAGGACCUUGCAAUCAUAAUCCUUCACCACAUCAAGCCACCUACACUGCCUCAUAUUCAGAUUUGGCCGGUACAUGAGAUACCUUAGUUCUUGUGGUUCGUGUAAAUGGUACAACUGUUGGUUUUUGAGCAAUCUAACACUUCGUAAGUGUGCAUGCAACCCUAAUAAACCUUGGAUCUAUGUUUGUCGAAAUACAUGCAAAAUAAUAAUUUUCCAAGGUUCAUAACCUAUCUCACAUGGCAUGGGGUACUUUUAAACAUAAAAGAGUUAGAUGAAAUUACAUACAUUUUGAUGAGUUUGAUUCCUUGGAGUUUGAGAGCCAAGCACCAAUAGUGUGAAUGCCUCAAAUGGAAAUCACUAAUCACGACAAACACUUGGAAAACUUUGAGAGAGUGUAUACACACUUGUAAUUUUCGGCCACACACAAGCACACACACUAGUGGCUAUUUCAUGCAACAUAAGCAUGCUUAUAUAGUGUGCAUGGUUAGGGUGAAACCCUAAUAACCCAUGACCUUUCCUUUUCCAAGGAUCCAUGGGUUAAAACUGAUGGGUUUUAGCCAUAAGAACUUUCCUAUGUGCGCAUGCAAAACCCUAAUGCUUGGAUCUAGGAUUUCUAAUAAACAUGCUUUGAAUCCAAGACUUCUAAUUACUAAUUAGGUUAAACAAGAACAUUAAAACAGAUCUAGAAUCAUACCUUUGAGUUCCUUGUUGAUCUUGAGGUCUUGGAGCUUCUAGAGUCACAAAUGUCACUCCUCUAAUGGCUUACAAACACCAAAGCAAGGAUGAUGAUUUGGGAGAGAGGAGAGGGGAGGAAUUUCGACCAGAGGUUCCUUACUUUAGGUCAAGUGUCGAAUUCCAUCAGCCAUGGGGUCUAUUUAUACUUGUAGACUCCUUAAGGAUUACAGAUAAGUCCCUAUCAGAUAAUCUUCUCUUAAGGCUAUCCAAAUCCAUUCCUAGAUAACUCUAAUGGACGAUUUUAGCUAUCCUAAUCCUCUUAGAAUUCGUCCAUAGUAUAUCCAAAUGGAUUUACAGUUUAAAGCUUAACUAUCAAACAAUUGACAGUUUAUACCCCUUUAUUUAAUUAAUCUCUUUAAGUCACCAAAUUAAUUCUAAUUAAUUCUAUGACUUAUAUUAAUCAAAUAACAAAUAUAUUAUUCAUUAUAUUAUUCCCAUAAUAUAUUAAUAAUAUUUAUUCUCUCUUAAUAAAUCAUCCUAUCAAGUUGCUAUGGUGAAGGCAACCCAAAAGGACCAUGCACAACCGGAUAUAGUUACAGCCUUAGACACUAUUCCAACAGUCUCCCACUUGGAUAAGUCUAGUAACUAUACAAGUACAAUUCGGUUUGCAAUCGUAGCUCUCAAAGACGCUGUCAACUCUGAUCUAAUCAAUCUUGUCCUUUAGAUAAGGGAACGUACAGUCCUCUGUUAGAUAUCAUGCUGACAAUCCUAUGGAAUGGUUAGUCAAGCAUUUAGGUUUCUCGAUCUCUGAUUUAUUUGACAUAGAACUUAAUCGAACACAUCAAUUCAGUUCUGACCGGGCCCGGCACAUAAGUCAAAUCAAAUCAUCGAGCGGCCGAGAUAUCGCUUUUACCUUCUUAGAUAAAAGUUACAGAUAAACUUCGACUUAUAUGCAUUUACUUAUUCAUUAACCAACUAUACACAACAAUACGUUUUAUAACACCAAGUUACUGAUGCGUUUUCGUAUUAUCAAUGUACAAUCAAUUAACAAAUAAUAAACCAUAUAUCUAGGUUUUAAGACUAUAUGAUAUUAUCGUCUUGCGAUCACCUUUUAUAUCGUAUUCCAUAAGGUGAUUCCAGCAAGCGCGGGUUUAUUCCAAUGCUCAAAACUAGUUCAUAAGCACUCAUGAACGUUGCAGCAAUCCUUUGCUAUGUCUAACACCAUUUAGACAUUCUACACACCAAUUCAUGACAAUCUUCUUUCAUAUCUACUUCCAACAUAUGAACGAUUGUGGACCAUUUGAAUAAUUCGAUUAUUCCUAAUAACCUCAAUUAUUCUGGAAGUCAAAACAUGCAAAGUGAAACAAUAGCUAAACAAUUAACAUAAGAUAGUAACAUUACUCAUAAAUAAAACUCCUUUAUUUAAUCAUCAAAUGUCAAUUACAUUUAUCUAUUACACGUUUCUAAUACUAUCUAAUCUAUGCUAAUAUCAUCCUUCAGCCCAAUACUCCUAGCAUGCUGCAAGUGCUUAACCCUACUCAGUCCCUUCGUAAGCGGAUCUGCUGGGUUAUCUUCUGAUGAUAUCCUCUUCACUACGAGUUGUCCUUCUUCUACACGAUGUCUAAUGAAGUGAUACUUUCUGUCGAUAUGUCUUGAUCUACCAUGAUCCCUCGGUUCCUUGGUUAAGGCAACCGCACCUUCGUUAUCACAGAAAAUCUCCAUUGGCUCCUUUAUGGCAGGUACGACUCCAAGAUCACCGAUGAAGUUCUUUAGCCAUAUUGCCUCCUUCGACGCUUCGCUCGCUGCAAUGUACUCUGAUUCGCACGUUGAAUCAGCUACGGUUUCCUGCUUGGAACUCUUCCAUGUCACUGCUCCUCCAUUUAGGGUAAAGACCCAGCCCGACUGCGAACGGUAGUUGUCCCUGUCGGUCUGAAAACUGGCGUCACUAUACCCUCGCACCUUCAAGUCAUCACUCCCUCCGAGGACUAAGAACCAUUCCUUCGUCCUCCGAAGGUACUUAAGGAUAUUCUUCACCGCAAUCCAAUGUGCUUUGCCAGGAUUCCCUUGAUAUCUGCUAACCAUGCUCAAAGCGAAGGCUACAUCAGGGCGAGUACAAGUCAUAGCGUACAUGAUUGAGCCAACUGCGGAAGCGUAUGGUACUCGGCUCAUUUCUGCUAUCUCAGCUUCGGUACUCGGACUUUGAGUCUUACUCAAUUUGGCAUUACUUUGUAUCGGUAGUUCUCCCUUCUUUGAGUUUUCCAUACUAAAACGUUUUAGUACCUUCUCUAAGUAAGUAUUCUGACUAAGUCCAAUUAGUCUCUUACUUCUUUCUCUUACUAUCCUUAUUCCCAAAAUGUAAGAAGCCUCUCCGAGGUCCUUCAUAGCGAAACACUUCCCGAGCCAGGACUUUACCUCCUGCAGAGUCGGGAUGUCGUUUCCUAUGAGUAAUAUGUCAUCGACAUAUAGAACGAGGAAGCUUACUAUACUCCCACUGGCUUUGACAUAUACACAAGAUUCGUCUUCGCUUCGUACAAAUCCAAACUCUUUGACUUUCUCAUCGAAGCAAAGAUUCCAUCUGCGAGACGCUUGCUUAAGUCCAUAAAUGGACUUCUCAAGCUUACACACUCUAUUCGGAUGCUUCGGAUCCACAAACCCCUCUGGCUGAGCCAUGUAAACAUCCUCAGCCAACUUUCCGUUAAGGAAAGCGGUCUUGACAUCCAUUUGCCAAAUCUCAUAAUCAUGAAAUGCGGCAAUUGCUAGCAUCACUCUAAUAGAUUUAAUCUUCGCAACUGGUGAGAAGGUCUCAUCAUAGUCAACUCCGGGAGUUUGAGUAAAGCCCUUCGCAACCAAUCGCGCUUUAUAUGUGUGUACGUUUCCAUCCACGUCGGUCUUCUUCUUGAAGAUCCAUUUGCACCCAACGGUCUUACGUCCGGGCACAUAAUCAACCAAAUUCCAAACUUGGUUAUCAUACAUGGAUUGGAUCUCGCUAUCCAUUGCCUCUUUCCAUUUUGCAGACUCCGGGCCUGCCAUGGCUUCCUUAUAGCUAUUAGGUUCAUCAAGAUUUAUUAGUGUACCAUCACUAAUAUACGUGUCCCCUUCGGUAGUAAUAUGAAAACCAUAAAACUGGGGUUGAACUCUAACUCUAUCGGAACGUCUAAGAGGUAAGGAUUCGUCAAUCGGUUCAACCGGAGUUUCCUCCUCGGGUUGAGUGCCAGCGGUAGAGGUUCCUUCAUCUAUCGACUCUUGAAUCUCUUCAAGCUCGAUUUGCCUCCCACUGUCUCCUUGGCUUAUGAGUUCUCGCUCUCGGAAAACUCCUCUCCUCGCAACGAAGACAACAUUGUCCUUCGGUCUAUAGAAGAGAUAUCCAAAGGAUGUCUGCGGGUAGCCGAUGAAAAUACAUCGCUCACUUCGAGGUUCAAGCUUGUCGUGAGUAUCUCGUCUUACGAAAGCCUCGCAACCCCAAACCUUGAUAUGUGCCAACGAGGGAGCUUUCCCUGUCCACAUCUCGUGAGGUGUUUUGGCAACCUUCUUAGUAGGGACUCGGUUAAGGAUAUGGGCGGCAGUCUCUAAGGCAUACCCCCAAAAAGAGAUAGGUAGUGAAGCACGACUCAUCAUAGAGCGAACCAUAUCCAAUAAGGUUCGAUUACGCCUUUCUGCCACACCAUUCAACUGCGGUGUCCUAGGAGGCGUCAAUUGCGAAACUAUUCCACACUCCUUGAGAUAAUCGUGGAAUUCAAGACUUAGGUACUCUCCUCCUCGAUCGGAUCGAAGCAUCUUGAUUUUCCUGCCCAAUUGAUUCUCCACUUCAUUCUUGAACUCUUUGAACUUUUCAAAGGUGUCUGACUUUUGCUUGAUUAAGUAGAUAUACCCAUAUCUACUAUAGUCAUCGGUAAAAGUCACAUAGAAGCGGUUCCCAUCCUUCGUGGUUGAUCUAAACGGUCCACAUACAUCGGUAUGUAUUAGGUCCAAUAGACCCUCGCCCCUUUCACAUGUACUCGUGAAGGGUGACUUAGUCAUCUUUCCAAGCAAACAAGACUCGCAUGUGUCAUCUUCCCUAAGGUCGAAUGACUCCAACACUCCAUCCUUUUGGAGUUGGGCUAUGCGUUUCUUGUUGACAUGUCCAAGACGACAAUGCCACAAGGAUGCUUUAUCCAUACUAGUGGAAGAAUCAAUAUUCAAAACAUCAUUUCCUAAGUUAUCAACAAUCAUAACGGUUUCAUAUAUUCCAUUACAUGGUAUAGCUUCAAAGUAAAAGACACCAUUUAGAUAAGCCAAAAUAGAACCAUUCUCAUUAUUAAAAGAAAAUCUAAAUCCUUGUCUAUAUAAACCAUGAAAUGAAAUGAUGUUUCUUGCCAUUUCUGGCGAAUAGCAACAAUUGUUCAAAUCUAAAACUAAACUAUUCCUAAGCACUAAGGAAUACACUCCAAUCUUGGUCACAGGCGACGAUCUUCUGUUCCCCAUGAUUAGAUUGAUCCUUCCUUGCUCCACAUCCCUACUUCUUCUUAGUCCCUGCACAUUAGAACAAAUGUGAUAACCACAACCGGUAUCAAGAACCCAAGAAAUAGCAUGAUUAGAAUCGUUAGAUUUGAUUGUAUAUAUACCUGCGAAAGAUGGCUUGAUCUUUCCUUCUUUGAUUGCUUGCAGGUAAUCCGGGCAGCUUCUCUUCCAAUGUCCUAUCUUGUGGCAGUGGUGGCACUCUGCCUCCUUCGGGUUAGAGCAGGGCUUGGCGGGAUCAACUUUGGUCCCACUAGAAGAGGCACCAUCUCGGGCUUUCACCUUGCGAUAGUUCUUCGAUGAAGCUUUCCUCUUCUUUCCCUUCCCUUGUCCAAUAGCCAAGACAGGAGCAGCGGGCGGAUUGGGAGUAGGUGCAACAGACUUGUCUUUGAAGUUGCUCUCAGCAACCCUCAAGAGACCUUGGAGCUUGCUUAGGGUGACCUCUUCUUUGUUCAUGUGGUAGGUCAUCCUAAAUUGGUUGUACAUCGGAGGCAAAGAGUGAAGCACCAUGUCGAUCGCCAAGUCUUCACCGAAGUCAACAUUUAACUUGCGAAGGCGGUCAACAUACCUUUGCAUCUUUUGCAAGUGCACGGUAAGAGAUUCUCCAUGACCCAUCUUCGCGGAAAUCAUGUUAGUGAAAAUCUCGUACCUCUCUUGUCUCGCGUUUUGGUGGUACCUCUCCAAUAAGUCUUGAUGCAUCUCGUACGGGUACAUGUCCUCGUAGGACUUUUGGAAUUCGGAGUUCAUGGUGGCGAUCAUGAUGCAAUGUACCUUCGUUGCAUCUCGCUCAUGAGUUUCAAAGGCGGUGAUUUCGGCGGGAGUAGCAAUUUCGGGGUUGAUUUUCUCGAGCUUCUCAUCGAGGACAUACUCCUUAUCCUCAUAGCGAGCAAUGGUGCGAAUGUAUCUUAUCCAUUCGCUAAAGUUCGUUCCAUCGAAGGUGACCUUUUGGCAAAGGCUCAUCAACGUGAAAGAACUAGCAGCAGCGUUGUUUGCGUUCGACAUCUACAAUUAGAAAAGGACAAAGAUAGAUUAGAAUAAGAAUCCCUAAUUAUCACCCAAUAAGAAAAUUAGGGCUAGGAUCCAACAAUAACAUUUACAUACUAGAAAAGGGAUGCCGUAAUCUAACAUGCAAAUAAAUUGAAGGUAAGUGAAUGACGAUUCACUAAUUCUCCAUCACAAAACUUAAACUAUUAGUCCUAAGUGUUUUUGAGAAUUCCUAGGUUCGGAUGAGAUUCAUUGAAACUAUUCAAUGGCAUGUUUAAAUCUCGAUAUGCCCCUCUUGUUUGUGACUGGGAUGCCGAGGAUCACAAAGCGGGUGUGAAUUACCAUGCAAAUUCACAUGGUG
rnacentral:lncRNA from 1 species